CUCAAUACAAAAUGGGUGCUACUACUAAAUUGGCACGAUUAAUGCCCAUCGAAAAGGCCAUCAAUUUAGCCAGCAAUUUUGUCAAAAUUUCAACAAUUGAAGAAAUCUUGAGAUACAUACAACAAAGUCUUGAAACUUUAGUCUUCACAAUUUGAGCACGCACUAAAUAUUAACCAUCCAUCUGCAGAGCAAGUAUAGAACAAAGCUUGAACUGAACACGCUGAACACAGCUUUUUUUUUUUUGGAUUUUUAGAAUUUUUUAAAGUCAUUUAUGUUCGCUGCCAUCUUUUUCUUUGCUGGCAUCUUCAUUGGCAUCCAACCAAUAAAUUGGGCAUUAAAUACGAAUGAUGAAUAAAAUGAUUAAAAAAAAACAAACAGACCUUUCAAAAAAAAAAAAAACAGAGAAAAUUAUAAUAUAACACAUAUAUAUUGAAAGAGAAAUUUUGAUUUUAGGAUAGAUCAAUUAGCUAUCACAAACGAAAACAUGAACCAACUAUGUAUAGAGUCAAUUAACUAAAGUUCUCAAGAGUUGACCUGUGCUCCAGAAUUCUUGGAAUCAUCUAUCUCCUGAACUUGGACGAAGCUUGGGACAAUUACGAACAUCUUCAUCGGAUGCAGAUGGAAACGGGAUCUGAUAACCCGCAGGCCAAAAGUUGGUGAGGUUUGGUAAAUCUCUCAGUAUCAAGCCCCGAAGUUCAUUCAUAACAAUUUCAUUGUAAUCCGUGACGUCUGUUCCAUCUUUAUGCCAGAAUACUUCUUCUAAUUCAUCAUUACCUACUAUGUAUAGGCAAUCCAGUUUUUGAAGACUUGGAGCUACGCUGAUAUGAAAUAGAUGCUUUAGUUUGGGGCAAUAACGGACAGAGAUCCUUUUGAGUUUUGGGAAACAUACAGGUUGGAGAUGAUCCUCAUCCUCAUCAAUGAUUUGCUCUAAUUCCAAGCAAUUCGAAACAGAUAACACCUCCAAUUGCAACAGAUUUCGAGCAAGUGUUGAUGAGAAGAGACGUCUCAGCAUAGUGCACCCGUCCACUCUUAAAUAGGUAAGACUUUGCAGGCUAAAAUUAUGGGUGGGACCUUCAUGAUAUAAUAAUACUUGCAGUUCUGGAAGAUCUUCCAAUUGCAACGACUUCAAACAUGGGAAAAGUUUGUUUUCUUGUCCAUCAGCGAUAAUAGCUUCCAACUGAAAUACCACCUGUACUCCAAUUUCCCUAAUAUGCAAUUCUUCCAAAUUUUUUAAUCCGUGCUUCAACAGUGCUGGAAUCGUGUCACUCAAAUGGGAACAAUUGUCCACAUCUAGAGUAUUUAAGUUCUGAGACAAAUAAAUAAAUAACUUGAUGCAAUUAAAAUCUAUUAGCAGCUAGGAUUAUCACAUGAUAAGUGAUGAACACCGCAAAAAACAAAAACAGAAAACAAAAUCCAUACAAAAAUAUCAUAAUACAUAUGUAAACUAAUAAAAUAAUUAAAAAGUAAUGGAUUUAAAAAAAAAUGAAAUUAGUUAAAAGAGAUCAUGUGAAGUGAUAUAAAUGUGACAUUAGAUUGUUUUAGAAAAAUUAUUAUUCUAUUAAUUUAUAUGGCUUGAUCAACUAUUUUAUUGAAUUUGAAUAAUAUUAUAUACACUUCAGAAGUAUUUGCAUCAAUUCUUUCUAAACCAAAAUGAGAUAUGACUUUCAUUUGAAGAAUGAUUUUAGGCCCUAUAAUAAAGAAAUUUCUCUAAAAUAUCUUAGCAUUAUUAUUAUCACCAUCACAUCCACCACCAUCAUCAUCUCCAUAGGAUCAAAAAAUUAAUGGCUGAUCAUAAAAUUUAUUGCUAAACUAUCAUUUUGAGUAAAAUUGAAUGAAAAGAAAAAACAUGAACCCAAACAAACAUACCUCUUUGAGAUACUGUAAAUUGGCUUCAAGUUCAUUACUGUUGAUGGUCAAGUUGGGACAAUUAUGAAGGUCUAAAUUUUCCAAUGCUGUCCAAAUUGAACAAUAAUUCUCUGAACAGAACUUGGUGAGUUCUGGGAGAUCUUUAAGUUUUAAUUUUCUCAACAAAGGGAGGGCGAGCAUCGUAUUGCCAUCUCCGAAACUUAUUCCCCCUUCAUUGUGAUCAAACUUUGCUUCGACAAUAUAUUCCAGUCUCUUGCAAUAAGUCACAAUGAGACUUUUAAGCUGCUCCAAACUUCUAGCUUGUGACGACGUGAAGAUGUAUGUCAACUUGUUGCACCUAUGCACAUUCAAUUCUGUAAGAGUUUGGAGACUGAUCACAUGUUGGGCGGGCCCCUUCCAUGUCCACUUCAGUUCUGGUAAGUCCCACAUAGAUAACUCUGCUAAUCUUGAGAGACUCUUUCCAUGCGGCGACUUAGAGGCUUCCAUUAUGCAUUCUAAAUCUUCGCAAUCGCGGACAUCAAGACAAGUCAACUCAUUUAAGCCCCUUUCAUCUAUGCUUGGCACAAUAUUGUAACAACCUAUAAUCCCACUUAAAUAAAGAAUUUCCAGUUCUUGAUACAAUGCCGAAAAAAUACCGAGCGAGGUCGCUUCAGGAGGGUGGUUACCAAUCAUUAAGAUCCUUGCCUUAUCAUCAUGUUCCCUUUCAUCAUAAACUCCUUCAACUUUAUAGAUGACGUACCUUUGCAAUUUCGGGAAUGUAAAGUCUUUUGGAAGACAUACAACAGAUCUGUCGGCUUGGGAGUUCAACUCAGCAAGCCUAGCAUUACUUUCUUCUGAACUCAUCCCUUCAACCUCCCAAUCUUUUAUCCGACCAUAAAAUUCUUCCAAUUGAGGAAAUUUUUUUAUCGUAAUGGGAGAAACAGAACCAGUAUCAAUAUAUAGAAGUUUCAAUCUACCAAGUUCAUCCGACAAUUCUUCAGGAAUUUCAAUGGGAGAUGACUGGAGAUAAAGAAGUUCAAGUCUCUUCAACUUUCCAAGAAAAAACGUGUCACUCACAUCACACCGAAUCAACUGCAGAACCUGGAGGUUGGUGAGGCUCUGAAGCGAUUUAAGUGAAAGAACUCCACCUAUUAUAGUGACAACUUUCAAUGCUGGCAUCCCUUUAAAAAAAUGUUCUGGAACUUGCAAUCGGUGGUCGUAUUCAGGAUUCUCCAAUCGCAAAAUAUGAAGGUUAGGGCAUACCAAACCACUAGAAAGCUCUUAUUUUUUAUUUCCCACCAAAGAGAUUCCUCUGUAUUGUUCCAGGCCUUCUUUCAUUGCCCGUUCUGCCAAUCCAAUGCCAAAUUUACUAAAAAAUUUCUUCUCCUCUAGAACUAUUGAGCCUAUCCAUAUGGCUACAUCACGAACCAUGUCAUGCAUUUUCACAGAUCUGUCAUUACCAGUGUCUAACAGCAGUGACGCAGCUUUGAGCGCGUUAAUCGUUCCAUGCAGUCGGCUUCUGGCGUUUUCUAUUGACGGAGCACAUUGAUACCAAAUAACCCCCACUGCGUAUCCAACCAAAUCCUCCAAAUAAAUCUCAUAAUCUUCUGGAAACAGAGAACACAACAAGAAGCAUAACUUGGACUCCUCACUAUUUAAAUUGUCGUAACUGAAUUUAAGACAACCGUAAACGUCUUGGUCAUCCUUGUCAAUACCUUCUAUUGCAUAGAGUUUUGCUUCCUUUAGGUUAUUUAGUGCUAGUUUCCAUUCAUCAGAUCCUUUUUCUCUUAGUGCACUUCCAACAGCUUCAAUAGCUAAAGGCAGCCCCUUAAUUACAUUCGUCGGCAACUUGUUUUGAAACACCAUCCAAGGAGGAGUCGUUUACAUUAAUACCGGCAUUCAUUUUUAGUAGAGUCAAUCCUUCUUCUGGUGUUAUUGUACCAAGUUCAAUCUGUGGGUAACAACCGAAAGAACCACAAAUUGACUUUUUGCGAGUGGUUAGAAGGAUUUUGCAACAAUUGUCUCUAUCACCAAUGGGAAUACCUAAUUUUUUCUCCAAGUCGAGUUGUUUCCAAACAUCACCAAGGAUUAUGAGGAUUUUGCUGCUUUUACUCUCAGAAAACAUCAACCGCAAUCGAUCUGCUCUCUCUUUUUCAUCUGUCUCAUUUAACGCCCAGCCUAACGACUUUACCAGCUCACUUUGAACCUUUAUUAUAUCUGGAUCCUGAGACACAGUGACUAUCCCAACUUCAUCGAAAAUCUUUUGUUGCCGAAGUUGAUUGCCCACAAAAUUUGCCAAGGUCGUCUUCCCUACACCACCGAGACCGUGCAAUCCCACCAUCUUUGUGCUCUCUUUUUUCAGUGCUUCAGUGAUUUGAAUGCAAGCCAAAUCUGUAGCCUUGAAAGGAGAAAAAGAUCUCGGUAUAGGCAAUUCUUUGUCUGAUGGUAGAGGUUUAGGACGGGCAACUGUGCUGAAUUUGCUGCGGUCUUGUAGCAGAUCGGACAACUUGCUAGUCUUCUUUGAUGCUUUUGUACCCAGCCAGUAUCGGCAACCCCAAUUAGGACACCAUCCAUUAAGACAACUCUUCUUUUCAUCUAUCUUUGCUUUUAAAUUUCGAACGUCGGCCAUUUCUUUAUCUACAUCCUCAAGCCAUGUCUCGACAUCUUUCUCGACUACUAUAGCACGGUGUAUUUGUCGUUCUUGUUCUACUCUUUCAUUGAUGCCAUCUUUUUCCUUCUUCAAAUUGGUUUCUUUAACCUUAAGUUCUUUAUCUAUGCUGUUGAAACACAGCAGAUAACGAGCUUGGUUUAUGGUUGCAUCCACCAACAAUUCUCCAAGCCUUGAUGCAACACCUGACAAAAGUUCCAUGCUAUUUAUCUGCAAUUAAUAAAGUUGAUCUCAGUAAGCUAUAAGCAAAACAAUGAGGCUUGAUCACAAGAUCGAACGAGAAAGUUUAAUUACCUUUUUCUAUUCUGUGAAUGCACGUUUAUUGACACUAGCUUUGACCAGUAAGAGCAAAAUGCAAACGCCGAGCUUUAAGUGGCCUUUAGCUGCAAAACAAAAGAGAGGAAAUAAGGUAAUUUAUUAUUAUUAUUAUUUUUAAGGACGGAUAAAGGUUAGCUAGCUUGCAGACAAAUUUACUAAAAUCAAGACAAACCUAAGAGUUUUCCUAAUUUGUUCAAACAUGGAAUAAGCGUUUCACAACAGUAUAUCCAUAAAGGCCCCAGCGAACGUAAUAUGUGCUGGACUAUAUUGAAAUUAGAUUAUUUUAGAAAAUUUUAAAUAAAAAAUAUCAAACAACAAAGAAAUCUAAUAGAAUCUGGAUAAACAGCAUGGGAGAAUAUGGUAAAAUUGAUAAACUUGGUUCAAAAAUUACAAUUCUUUUUGAGAUUUGAACCAACGAUUUUGACUAAGGUCUCCUAAGCCACAAAGCAUAACUCUUACUACUAAAUUACGCGCAUUUUGUUACAUUUAAAUGUGGUCAUAUUCUUUUUAUUAUCUUUUUUUAGAAGGGACUCAUGGUAUACUUAAAAGAAAUAAUAAUGAUUUAGAUAGGGCUGAAGCCCACUCAUGAAAAAAUUCAAAGGUUUUCAAGAUAAUUACCGAUUUUUUUCCACCCAAUAUUCUAAUAGAAUGGUGCCAGAAUUCUCAAAUAAUAUCUUAAUAUUAUUUAACUGGUUGGCACCCACCUAUUGGAUGAUUAAUUUAAUAAUUUGUUACAUUAUUUAAUACUCCAUCUCACUAUCUAGUGAUGUAAAUGGUGGAGAAGGAUCGUCUCCUAGACUUUUUUCUCUCACUAAUCUCUUAGUGAAAUAAGUGGCCGAAAUUGAAUUUUAAUUUUUGAUAUUGACAAUUAAAUUGGCUUGUUUCACAUUAUUAACAAUUAAGCCAAUUUUUUUUUUCUCCUUUUUUCAAUUAGAUUUGGAAGGCUAUAAGAGAGUAGGAGAGAAAAAACACUAGAAGGAGAUCUUAAUCCAUAAAUAGUACCUUAUUUGGGAUGGUAAAGAUUGAGAUAAAUUUCCUCUUAGUCUCUAAAAUUUUGGCCUAUGCGCAGCCAUAAUUUUAGUAUUUUUAAAAAGAAUGGGAUUAUUUACAUUCUAAAAUCUAUUUUGAAUACUCUUUUACUCAACACACUCAUUCAAUAAAUAAAUUUUAAAAAAUAAUUUUUACUUUACACACUAUUUCGAGAGUCAAAACUAUCCUUCAUUAGGACCAUUUCAUUAACUAAUUAUUUUCUAUUGACACCCAUAAAAUAUUCAUCAUUCUUGAACCAUGUGGCGUUAAUUAAUGAUUCCGAAGCAUUAUCAAGAUUCAAGAUUUAUGUUGAAAUUCUUUCAUCUGACAUUUGAACCCAGCCACUAGCUAUAUACAUAUAUACUUUCAAAUGCAGCUCCGGGAAUAUUUUGUGACUGAUUUUAUAAAGUGUUUUAGUUACAUUAAUGCAGUGAAACAAUAAAGAGUACGUGGCUUGCUGAUUUCCAAAUCAAGUUGGGGGAAAAAACAGAGCAUUUUUCUUUUAUAAUGGAUUAGAUUAGACGAUGAAGGAAAAAUUAUUAGCGAUUAUUAGUACUUUUGUGUGUGUUAAGAGUAAUAAUAUUAUUUUAAAUUAUAUUAAUGCCUUUGGUACUGAAUUCAAUUAGGGUUAUUUUAGUAAUAUAAAUUUUCAUUAAAAUUAAAGUGUCCAAAUUAUAAUUUAGAUUUUUCAAAUGUAAAAUAAUAUUUAUUUAUUUGAUAUAAAUUAAAAUUCAAACAAAUGUAUCAUGCAACAAAUGAAAAGUAAAGAAUAUUAAUUAGGUUUUAAUAGAAACAAAUAUAAAUAGAUGUUUUGAGUAGUUAAUUUUUGUUAUUUUAUGCUAUUGGUAGUUUGUGGAUUAAAUAAUUUGUAUAAGGAUAAAUGGGGGUUUGUAUAAUUUAUACGAAGAUAAUCUCCAAAAUAAGCUUAUAUGUCGAAUUUAAAAGUGUUAUAUAAGUAGUAAUCGUAUAUGCAUCAAAAUUUUUAAUAAAAUUUAUUUAGAAAUUGGCCAAUUGAGUUUUAUGAAGAAAAUAGACGGGCAAGUAAUUUGUAGGUUGUGGUACUUCUCCAUACUUCAAAUCACUUUUAUCUAAUCAAUUGAUAAAUAUUUUUGGGCUCCAACAAAAUGAAAAGAAAAAGUUAAAAAUAAUUCUGAAAUUAAAAACGUUAGGUACUGCCUAUAAGCUAUACAAUUUUACCUUUCCUUCUAUCACAAUUAGUAUUAGAAAUAAAAAUAGUUUCGAAAUAAAUGUAAUUAGGAGGUAAUAUUAUCUCAACAAUACCUUAUAGGGAAAAAAACAUCUAUAUCCUAAAGUUUGGAGAAAUGGUCGUAAAGACCCCAGGUUUUCAGAAAGGGAUAUCAAGACCCUUUUUUGACCGUAAUACCCUUUAAAUCUAGUAAUUAAAAAAUUGACUUUAAGAUUUUUUAAUUGACAAAUUUAAUAUAAAUAAUAUAAUCUAUCUAGUAGAUUAAUAAUAUUAACAAUAAAAAUAAUAUUAAAAUUUAAAUUCUUAUAUUUAUUCUAAUAAUAUUUUUUUAUUUAUUAUAAAGAUUUUAAAUAAAUCCUUGGGUUAAAUAGGUUUUCCAGUUAACAAAAUAUACCCCUAUUAAAAAUAUUGAAAUUACUUUCUACAUAAUAUUUAAAAUAAUUACAAUUUAUUUAUUUUAAUAUUAUGUUUCUAUUUAUUAUUAAAAAUUACUUUAUUAGAGCAAAUUUUUAUUAAUUAAAGCUUUAAAAUUAAUUUUCUAAUUACUAAAUUAAAAGGGUAUUAUGGUCAAAAUGGGUCUUUCAUUUUUGAAAACUUAGGGUUUUUGCGACCAUCUCCCCAAACUUUGGAGUAUAGGUGUCCUUUUCCCGACUUCAUAUAAAGAUAUUCCAGAAGGUCUUAUAAUAACUUAUGUUAUAUGAAUUUAAUUAAAAUAUCAUUAAUACUUAAAUAAUAAUAAUUAUAGAAGACAUUGUAAUAAAUUAUUUGAUAUAUAUUAUUAAUGAUACUAUAUAUAUGUGUAUAUAACUACAUGAUGGCUUGGAUAUAUAUUGUUUAGUGGUAAUAAAUUUUUUUAAAAAAAUUUAAACUAAUGAUUUCAUGCGAUUCAAUGUUGGAUGAUUUAAAAUCAUAAAAUAUUGUUUUGACUUUCAAUAUCAACCGUUAGACUGUGAGAAAUUAAUUGCUCAAUAUUUUGUGUUAAAAUUUUAAAUUAAAAUAUCCCAAACCAUUUGUUUUACUUAAAAUACAAAAAAUAUAUAAAGAAAUUUUCUCAUUAAUUUUCAUAUUUUUAUUAGAGGUAAUAUUUUAUGUAUCGUCACCAUUAAUUGCCGUCAUUAAAGUAGUGACUCUUACUAAUAUAAAAUUUUAUAAUUAGUUAAUUGCAAUCAAAUGAUAUCAAUAAAAUAAUAUUUCAUGAUUCAUAAAUUAAAUCUAAUUAAGAAUAUAUGUUAGUUUUAACUUUUAUGAAAUCAACUAAGUGAUAUUACAAAAUAAAAUGAAAAUAAACUAGUGAAAUGAUGUGCUCAUAAUUUAUCUAUUAUUUUAAUGCUUCCAUAACUUAAUUUUAUGUUAAAUUAUAUUUUAUUAUAUUAAUUUUUAUCUUAAUUUUUAUAUUUUGUCAUUGUAGGAAUAAUGGGAAUAUUCAUGAGAAAAGAAGCUUAAAGAGGAAACAAAUUAGAGUAUAAUGAAAAUAAUGUGGAAGCAAAAGGGAAAGAAAUAAAAAGCCAAAUCAAGGCUGAUUGAAUUUAAUCAUCAUGCAUGCAACACGUGGGGGGAGCAUUAAAGAAUUAAUUUGCAAAUUGGCCAAUUAAACUUUACAAGUCACGUGGAUGGGCUUAAAAGGUGGCUAGAAUUGUUUUGUUUUAAAAAUCCCUUUCAUUUAAGGAUUCGUGGGCUGGAUUUGCAAUCCUUUUCCUUUAAGGAUUUGGAAGAAACCACAACAUUAUAAAAGAGAAGAAAGGCAGCCGCACAAGAGGGAUGGAAGCCAAGAGAAAAGAAAUAAUUGAGCAGCAACCGGAAGUCUUGAACGAAAACCGAAGAGCAGCAGCAAUAAUUUAGAGCAGAAGGAAGACACGUUAAUUCUUGAGUUUUUCUCUCUCUCUUCUCUAUUAUCUUGCUUGAAUGUUUCCAAUUAAAUUAAUGAAUUCUCUUUAUAUUCCCAUGAACUAAUUUAUUUACUAGGGCUACGAUGUAGCCUAAUUAUGAAGAUUUAAUUCCAUAAAUCUAUGUUAUUUUUUAAUUAAUUAUUCCAUGAUUGAGUGUUCAUUAUUGUGCUUAAUGCUUUUAAAUAUCUGGCCAAUAUUUGAAUGAUUCGAGGAUACAUAAUGAGACCGAGAUGAGAUUUAUGUAUUUUUGCUCUGUGUAAUGGAUGCCAUGAAUUGAACGAAAGACAUAGAUGUGCCAACGUGAUUCAUGCAGUUUUAUCUAAGAAUUUCCAUAGAACUUAAUGAAUCUUUGCAUAUUUAAAUUCACAUAGAGAUAUAGUGGGUUGAUAUGUGGAGAUAUUUUUGAUAUUACUCGAGAGAGGAUAUUGAAUAAAUUAGGGAAAUUCACUGUCAACAUGGGUAAUAAACUUUAAUAGCAUAGAUAGAGGAUUAAAUUGGAUUGGUUAUGGUGAAAUCGGAUGUCCUAGUGUUUUAAUCUCUUGGUGAUUUCUAUUACUGCCUGCGUCUUCAUUUAAUUUUUAAUUAUUUUAUUUUAUUUAACUUUAAUCUAAAUUCGCCUAAUCGAUUGUUCAAAUAAAGCAGGGUUAGAAUAAUUUCGGUAACUAAUAGGAUAUACAAUCUCUGUGGGACGAUACUCUACUCUUCAUUAUAUUACUUGUGCCGACUAGUACACUUGCUAAUUUACGCAACAAGUUUUUGAUAUAAAAUUUACACUUGCUAAAGUAGUGACUCUUACUGAUAUAAAAUUUUAUAAUUAGUUAAUUGCAAUCAAAUGAUAUCAAUAAAAUAAUAUUUCAUGAUUCAUAAAUUAAAUCUAAUUAAGAAUAUAUGUUAGUUUUAACUUUUAUGAAAUCAACUAAGUGAUAUUAGAAAAUAAAAUGAAAAUAAACUAGUGAAACUUAAAUUUUAUAAGGUUUGAAUAAUUUUCUACCACGUAAGAAUAUUAAUUGUGACAUAAACCAUAGUUUCAUGGUAUAUGUAUGCCAAAUGGGGUAACAAAUAAUAUAUACUUCAUGAUCAUGAUAGUAUAUAAAGUAGUGGAUAUUUUAAUAAAUAACAUAAAAUUCUUUAAGACAUAGGUGGUCAAUUAUAUAUUUUUUAGGAUAUAGACAAUCUCAAUCAAGAGUUUAUUGAUGUGAAUAGAUGGCAUUCACUUAAAUGUAUAUACUUAAUUGUGUUGUUUAUUGGUAUUACAUGUAACAAAAUUUUAUAUUAAAUUUUGAAGUUUUAUACUGUUGUUUCUAUUGAAUUUAUAAAUACAAUAAAAUUAUGGCCAUCAACAAUCACAACCAACUGCCACCAACAAUUACAUUCUCAUAUCUGUUGACGACAAUUUUUUAUACUAUUGGAACUCCAAUCUUUGAUGCUACACAAUAGUUAAAGUACCGACAUCAAUAGAACUUCCGUUCAUUGUAGAUCUAUAGUCAAAGUUUCGAAUCUUAAAAAAUUGACAGCAGAUUUAUGUCAAAUGAAAGCUUGUUACCAGUGAUUCUUAUACAAUUAUGUUGUUAUAGUAAUAAAGAUUCUAAUGGUACUAAAAUGCACUCCAUUAGACAUAAAGAUCCGACGACUAGUGGCGACAAUAACUAUCAUUAGUGACUUGGAGGUAAUUGCCGUUAAUAAAUUAUUUUUAACUUAAUAAUUAAUACAAACAAAUAAAAAAGUAAUUUAAGGAAAAUUAAUGUAAUAAAUAAUUGAAUUAAAAAAAUUAAAACCUAAAUUCUCGACCAUUUAUCCGUAUCUUUGGAAUCCAACGUUCAAAAUUGGAAUAAAACAUAGUAUAGCCAUUGGAAGUAAAACAAACAUUAAAGAGACUAGGAAAAAAUAUCUCAUACCUUCUAUAAUGAUACAUCCUCAAUCACUGCAGAAAGCUCCAAUUAAAAAGUCGCACAAGUUCGGAGAAAAUUACCAACUGUACCUAACAACACAAAUAAACAUCAAAUCAAAGCAACAUAGGAUCCAGCUAAUUAACAUCAUAAGUAAGUCCUUGUUCUCAGUCAAAUCUUUCGUUCUUAGGAAAAAAAAAAAAAUUGAAAGAAUAACGGUAACUGGAAAGUUUGACGACAUAAAGAUCUAGCUAAAUUUUAAGAAGCAAAAGUAAAUAAUGAAAGCUCAAUAAAAGAUCAUCAGCAUUAACAUACCGAAAUGAGAGCAGCUCACAGAACUGGUAAUUUCCAAGAACAGGAAAAAUAAGUGAGCUGAUAUUGAGGACAACUAAAGUAGUCAUGGAGUAAUUUGCUAUUGAGGACACCUAAAAUAAGAAAAUUAAUUAACAUUGCUCUAUACACCAUUUCAAUAAUUUGACUAUUAAAAAAAAAAUCUAUCUAGAUCACGAUUUCUCAAAAUGAUACUUUUUCUAAUUAAAUAAAUCAAAAUGCUUGCUUCUUUCUUUUUCAGAAAAGAAAAAGUGGCAAUGGCAUCAAUUUUUUUGCUAGAUUAUUAUCACCAAAAGCACAAGCAAGGAAUAAGAAUACUCUCUGAAACCAACCAUGUAAAGAGUAGAAGUAAGUGGUCAAUUGUAAAUUAGUCUUUCUUUUUUCUUUGUUAUUUUUUUCAUUUUUUGAAUGUGAACUAAAUAAAUUUAAGGGUGAAGCUAUUACACCUUGAAAACUAUAACUGAACACCCAUUUUUUUAAUUAAAUUUUUAUUACUAAAAUAACCAUGGAGUAAUUUGCUACUAAGGAAAACUAGAAUAAUAAAAUGAAUAAUGAUUGCUCUAUACACCCUUUUCUAAGUCUAUCUUCUUCUUAAUUUCAUAAUUUGGCUGUCAAAAAGUAAUCUAUCUAGAUCACGAUUUCUCAAAUGAUGCUUUUUCUAUCUAAAUAAAUGAAAAUGCUUGUUUCUUUCUUUCUCGAAAAGAAAAAGUGGCAAUGGCAUCAAUUUUUGCUUGCAAGCACAGCGAGGAAUCAGUAUACUCUCGGAAACUAACCAUAUUAAGAGUAGAAAUAUUUAUUUGGUUAUCACGAAGUAAGUUAGAAAUCAAUUAUAAAUGGUCUUUUUUUAUUUUUUAAUGUGAACUAUAUAAAUUUAAGGUGAGGUUAUUUACACUUUGAAAAACAUUCUGAAAACCAUUAUUUCAUUAAAUUUUUUAUUAUUAAAGGUCCGUUUGGGGCAGCUACGUUGAAGCAGCGCAGCUGCCCCAAACGCUCUCUAAAAUAGCCAUGGAGUAAUUUCUUACUGAGGAAAACUAGAAUAAUAAAAUCAAUUAUCAUUCUUCCAUGAACCCGUUUCUAGAUGUAUCUUCUUCUUGAUUUGGUAACUUGGCUGUCAAAAAGAAAUCUAUCUAGAUCACGAUUCCUCAAAAUGAUGCUUUUUCGGAUGAAAUAAAUGAAAUUGAACCUACAAUCUGUCACAAACACGUUAUAAUGAGCCUAAUGAAAAGCAGUAUGAGAAAUUUUGCUUCCAUGUUGUUUCUUCCAUAUGUAAAGGUAGUAAAAAGAAAUUUAAGUCCUAGAAACAAAUGGAUGAAGAAUUAUCAAUAAUUAAAAUUAAAAAAAGAAACAGAGUUAUAAAAGAAUCACAGUUCCACCAAAAAUUAAGAGUUAUUUUAUUUGGUGGUUUCCUAUCCCGAAAGCAUUACUUGUAAAUAUGUGCUAACAAGUAAUAAUUAAGAAAGUUAAGGCCAAUCAUUUAGAAGGGAGAAAAAUGGAAACAUCCGGAAUAUUGUUAUGUGUUUUCAGUGCGUAUCUACCAAUCAAUAAUGAAAAAUUAAAUACGCAUGUGACGAAAAUUUAAUAAAGAGAACUGGAGGUGACAAAAUUUUUAUUAUUCUAUCUUUCUCUCCUCUGAAACUUCCUUAAUUUGGUUGGGAAGUGCUUUGUCUUAGGCAGUGGAUCUGUUAUAAAUACCCUAUGCUAAAGUUAAUAUUUUGAUUGAAGAAAAAAAUAGAGGAGAAAAAUUUUAUUAAAGUAUAACAUAAUUUGAUAAAUUUAGAAUUGAGGAGAGAAAAUGAGUCUAAAUUCGAAAAUUUUGGCACUAUUUACAUAUAAUUAUUUGGGCAAAAAUUCAUUUCUCUGCUUUCAUAUGAUUUGGUCUUUCAUUGUUACGGUGCCAAUUUUUUAUUUAAAGAUGUAAGAUAGUGGUACUAUAGCUUAGAUUUUCCGUAAAUACUACAUGGUAAGUACAAAAUAAAAUACUAGUUUAAAAUAUAAAAAUGAAAAACUAUUUUUAUAACCAAUAUUCAAUUAAAUACACUUGAAACUCUAUUUUUUCUUAAUAAAAAAAUUCUAAUUUAUUUUCUCAAUUUAUCUAAACAACUUUACCUAAUCAAGCUAAAUCUACAUAUUACCCUAAACCUUAAUUCAUAAACACCCAAUCAAUCCAAUUGUUAAAUCCGAUUUCAUAAUUAAAAAAGCUAAAUUCUAUUUUAUUAUUUAUGGUGCAAAGUAAAAAAUGCCCUUGAAGUUAAGGGUAAAAUUGAUAUUUUAUUUAAAUUUUGUUAAUAUUCUAAUAAUGUUAAUGUCUUAGUGGUUAAUAAAAUCACAAAGUCAAACUUUUGUAGUAUUUUUUAUAAUAAGUUAAAGAUAUAUGUUUGAUAAUUUUCCUACGUCUUUUUACGUUAAAUUGAGUCUCAAGAGAAAAAUGAUUAAUUUGCUACAAUUCUGUCAGUUUUCUGAUGGAAGAUAAUGAUACAAUGAAUAAAUAAUACAAAUUAUUAAAUUAAUGUUGAUGAAUGAUACAACUUGAAAAUAUUGUAGUAUUCUUAAUAGUAGAGAAAUGUAAAGGUGGAUGGUUGAUAAUUUAAUGAAGUAACUACAGAAUUUUCCUUUCAAAUAUUUUUUUAAAAUAUAUAAUGAGUAAAAAUCAUUUUACAGAAUGAUCAUACGCAUUUUGUAUCACAAACGAAAACAUGAACCAACUAUGUAUAGAGUCAAUUAACUAAAGUUCUCAAGAGUUGACCUGUGCUCCUGAAUUCUUGGAAUCAUAUAUCUCCUUCUGAAUUUCCACGAAGCCUGGGACAAUUAUUAACAUAUACAAACUUGGCAGAUGGAAAUGGGAUCUGAUAACCCGUAGGCCAAAAGUUGGUGAGGUUUGGUAAAUCUGACAGUAUCAACUCCCCAAGUUCAUUCAUAACAAUUUCAUUGUACUCCGUGACGUCUGCUCCAUCUUUAUGCCAGAAUACUUCUUCUAAUUCAUCAUUACCUAUUAUCCAUAUGUACUUCAGUUUUUGAAGACUUGGAGCUACGCUGAUAUGAAAUAGAUGCUUUAGUUUGGGGCAAUAACCGACAGAGAUCCUUUUGAGUUUUGGGAAACAUACAGGUUGGAGAUGAUCCUCAUCCUCAUCCUCAUCAAUGAUUUGCUCUAAUUCGAAGCAAUUCCAAACAUAUAACGCCUCCAAUUGUAACAGAUUUCGAGCAAAUGUUGAUGAGAAGAGACGUCUCAGCAUAGUGCACCCGUCCACUGUUAAAUAGGUAAGACUUUGCAGGCCAAAAUUAUGCGUGGGACCUACGUGAUAUAAUACUUGCAGUUCUCGAAGGCUUUCCAACUGCACCUCCUUCAAACAUGGGAAUAGUUUGUUUUCUUGUCCCUCAGCGAUAAUAGCUUCCAAUUGAAAUACCACAUGUACUCCCAGUCGUCUAAUACCCAAUUCUUCCAAAUUUUUUAAGCCGUGCUUCAACAGUGCUGGAAUCGUGUCACUCAAAUGGGAACAAUUGUCCACAUAUAGAAUUUUUAAGUUCUGAGACAAAUAAAUAAAUAACUUGAUGCAAUUAAAAUUUAUUAGCAGCUAGGAUUAUCACAUGAUAAGUGAUGAACACCGCAAAAAACAAAAACAGAAAACAAAAUCCAUACAAAAAUAUCAUAAUACAUAUGUAAACUAAUAAAAUAAUUAAAAACUAAUGGAUUUAAAUAAAAAAUGAAAUUAGGUAAAAGAGAUCAUGUGAAUUGAUAUAAACGUGACAUUAGAUUGUUUUAGAAAAAUUAUUAUUCUAUUAAUUUAUAUGGCUUGAUCAACUAUUUAAUUGAAUUUGAAUAAUAUUAUAUACACUUCAGAAGUAUUUGCAUCAAUUCUUUCUAAACCAAAAUGAGAUGUGAUUUUCAUUUGAAGAAUGAUUUUAGGUCUUAUAAUAAAGAAAUUUCUCCAAAAUAUCUGAGCAUUAUUAUUAUCACCACCACAUCCACCACCAUCAUCAUCUCCAUAGGAUCAAAAGUUUAAUGGCUGAUCAUAAAAUUUAUUGCUAAACUAUCAUUUUGAGUAAAAUUGAAUGAAAAGAAAAAACAUGAACCCAAACAAACAUACCUCUUUGAGAUACUGCAAAUUGGCUUCAAGUUCAUUACUGUUGAUGGUCAAGUUGGGACAGUUAUGAAGGUCUAAAUUUUCCAAUGCUGUCCAAAUUGAACAAUAAUUCUCUGAACAGAACUUGGUGAGUUCUGGGAGAUCUUUAAGUUUUAAUUUUCUCAACAAAGGGAGGGCGAGCAUCGUAUUUCCAUCUCCGACACUUAUUCCCCCUUCAUUGUGAUCAAACUUUGCUUCGACAAUAUAUUCCAGUCUCUCGCAAUAAGUCACAAUGAGACUUUUAAGCUGCUCCAAACUUCUAGCUUGUGACAACGUGAAGAUGUAUGUCAACUUGUUGCACAUAUGCACAUUCAAUUCUGUAAGAGUUUGGAGACUGAUCGCAUGUUGGGCGGGCGCCUUCCAUAUCCACUUCAGUUCUGGUAAUUGCAACAUAAAUAACUCUGCUAAUCUUGCGAGACUCUUCCCAUGCGGCGACUUAGAGGCAUCCAUUAUGCAUUCUAAAUCUUUGCAAUCGCGGACAUCAAGACAAGUCAACUCAUUUAAGCCCCUUUCAUCUAUGCUUGGCACAAUAUUGUAACAACCUAUAAUCCCACUCAAAUAAAGAAUUUCCAGUUCUUGAUACAAUGCCGAAAAAAUAACGAGCGAGGUCGCUUCAGGAGGGUAAUUAUUAAUUAUUAAGCUCUUUCUCUGACUAACAUAUUUCAUUUUAUCAACAACUCCUUCAACUUUAUAGAUGAUGUACCUUUGCAAUUUCGGGAAUGUAAAGUCUUUUGGAAGACAUACAACAGAUCCGUCGGCUUGGGAGUUCAACUCAGCAAGCCUAGCAUUACUUUCUUCUGAACUCAUCCCUUCAACCUCCCAAUUUUUUAUCCAACCAUAAAAUUCUUCCAAUUGAGGAAAUUUUUUUAUCGUAAUGGGAGAAACAGAACCGGUAUCAAUAAAUAGAAGUUUCAAUCUACGAAGUUCAUCCGACAAUUCUUCAGGAAUUUCAAUGGGAGAAUCCUCGGGAUAAAGAAGUUCAAGUCUCUUCAACUUUCCAAGAAAAGAUGCGUCACUCACAUCACAUCCAAUCAGCUGCAGAACUCGGAGGCUGCUGGCGAGGAAUCGAAGCGAUUUUAGUGAAAGGACUCCAUCUUUUAUAGUAACAACUUUCAAUGCUGGCAUCCCUUCAAAAAAAUGUUCUGGAACUUGAAAUUUGUAGUCACAUAGAGUAUUGUCCAAUCGCAAAAUAUGAAGGUUAGGGCAUACCAAACCACUAGGAAGCUCUUCUUCUUUAUUUCCCAUUACAAAGAUUCCUCUGUAUUGUUCCAGGCCUUCUUCCAUUGCCCAUUCUGCCAAUCCAAUGCCAACUUUACCAAAAAAUUUCUUCUCCACUAGUACUUCUGACCCUAUCCAUAUGGCUACAUCACGAACUAUGUCAUGCAUUUUCACAGAUCUGUCACUACCAGUGUCUAACAGCAGUGAAGCAGCUUUGAGUCCUUCAAUUGUUCCACGCAGUAGGCUUCUGGCGUGCUCUAUUGAUUCAGCUUGAUACCAGGUCAACCCCACUACAUAUCGAACCAAAACCUCCAAAUUAAUCUCAUAAUCUUCUGGAAACAGUGAACACAACAAGAAGCAUAACUUGGAAUUGUCAUCAUUCAAAUUGUCGUAACUAAAUUUGAGACAACCGUAAACGUCUAGGUUCUCCUCAUCAAUACCUUCUAUUGCAUAGAGUUUUGCAGCCUUUAGGUUAUGUAGAGCCAGGUUCCAUUCAUUAAAUCUUUUUCCUCUUAGUGCACUUCCAACAGCUUCAAUAGCUAAAGGCAGCCCCUUACAUUCUCCAGCAACUUCUUUGGAAACAUCAUUCAACGUGGAGUCAUUUACAUCAAUGCCGGCAUUUUGUCGCAGUAAAGCCAAUCCUUCUUCUGGCGUUAGUGUACUAAGUGGAAUCUGUGUGUCACAACCCAAAGAAUCAAAAACUGACUUUUUGCGAGUGGUUAGAAGGAUUUUGCAACAAUUAUCUCUACCACCGACGGGAAUACCUAAUUUUUUCUCCGAGUCGAGUUGUUUCCAAAUAUCAUCAAGGAUUACGAGGAUUUUGCUGCUUUUACUCUCAGAAAACAUCAAGCGCAAUCGGUCUGCUCUCUCUUUUUCAUCUUUCUCAUUUAGUGCCCAGCCUAACGACUUUGCCAGCUCACCUUGAACCUUUAUUAUAUCUGGAUCCUGAGACACAGUGGCUAUCCCCACCUUAUCGAAAAUCUUUUGUUGCCGAAGUUGAUUGCCCACAGAUUUUGCCAAGGUCGUCUUUCCUACACCGCCGAGACCAUGCAAUCCCACCAUCUUUGUGCUGUCUUUUUUCAGUGCUUCAGUGAUCUGAUUACAAGCCGAUUCUGUAGUCUCGAAAGAAGAAAAAAAUCUUGGAAUAGGCAUUUCUGUGUCUGAUGGUAGAGGUUUAGGAAGGGCAACUGUGCUGAAUUUGCCGCGGUCUUGUAGAUCGGACGACUUGAGAGUCUCCUUUGAUGCUUUUCUACCCAUCCAAUAUCGGAAACCCCAAUUAGGACACCAUCCAUUAAAACAACUCUUCUUUUCAUCUAUCUCUGCUUUCAAAUUUCGGACAUCGGCCAUUUCUUCGACUACAUCCGCCAGCCACUUCUCUACAUCUUUCUCAACUACUACAGCGCAAUGUUUUUGUCGUUCUUCUUCUACUUUUUUGUUGAUGCCAUCUUGUGCCUCCUUCAAAUUAGUUUCUUUAUCCUCAAGUUCUUUAACAAUGCUGUUGAAACAGAACAGAUAGCGAGCUUGUUUUACGGUAGCAUCCACCAAUAAUUCUACAAGCUUUGAUCCAAUACCUGAUAAAAUUUCCAUGCUAUUUAUCUGCAAUUGACAAAGUUGAUCUCAGUACACUAUAAGCAAAACAACAAGGCUUGAUCACAAGAUCGAACGAUAAUGUUUAAUUACUUUUUUAUUGAAUGUUUAAUUACUUUCUUUUAUUCUAUGAAUGCACGUUUAUUAACGCCAGCUUUGAUCAAUAAGAGCAAAAUGCAAACGCCAGGCUUCAAGUAGCCUUUAGCUGCAAACAAAAGAGAAGAAAUAAGGCAAACGUGAUAGAUGGUGGAUUAUAUUGAAAUUAGAUUACUUUAGAAAUUUUUAAAUAAAAAUAUCAAACAACAAAUUUAAUAAUAGAAUCUAGAUAAAUCGAAGAGUUUGUUAUGCAUUGCGAGUGAAGACAGGCAGUUACAUGGGGGAAUCUUGUAAGAGUGAUGAAAAUUAAAAAGCCAUCCAUAAUUGAAGUUAAAAAGAGUAUUAGAGAUUAGAGGGGUUCAACAUCUUAUGCAAGCUCACUCAUGAUAAAAUUUGAAGAUAAUUAUCCCAUUUUUACUUCAAUCAAUAUUCUAAUACAAUAAUUCCAUAAAUCUCAAAUAGUAUCUUAAGAUUUUUUUUUUUCCUCAAAAUUACCAUUAAAAGUAAAACAAACAUGAAGCUAAGAGCCUAUGAAACAAUAAUAUCUCAUACCUUCUUUCUCAUAGAUCCUCAAUUACCCCUGAAAGCUCCGGUUAGAGAGUCGCACAAGCUCGGAGAAAAUUAAAAGCUGCAUCCAGCAAUAUAAAUAAACAUCAGAUCAAAACAACAAAGCAUAUAUCUAGCUAACUAAACAUCAUCUAUAACUCCUCGUUCUCAGUCAAAUCUUUCAUUCUUAGGAGAUAAAAAAAAGAUUGAAAUAAUAACUGUAACUGAUAUAGGAAGCAAAAGUAACAUACCAAAACGAGAGCGGCUAGCUCACAGAUCUGGUGACUUCCAAGAGCAUGAAAAAUGAUUGAGGUUUAAUAGCAAGUUCACAGAUGACAGAUGUGGUGACUUCAAGAGCAUGAAAAAUGAUAAAACUUUGGUAGAAAGGUCUGAGCCGUGUUUCACAAGUUGCUAUUGACUUCGUGGCUUCGCUUUUAUUUAUUAUUAUUAUUAUUUUUUUAAAUUCUAUAUCAGUGAGAAUUGAAAUGUGGAAAGUGAAAUGAUACACAUGCCUUAUCAUCUAUCAUGAGGGGUGAUUUGGUAAAACCGAUUUAAAAUAAAAAAAAGUUUAAAAAGAUGCUUUGUGUCUGACUGCUUGUAUUUGGGGUAUUUUUCGGGUUGUUGAGAGUGAGUUUAAUUAAAUAUAAGAUUUUCAUUUUUCUUAUUCUAUUUUUCUCUUUAGAAUGAAUUUAAAUCUCAUUCUUAUUAAAUCCAUUUUUUUAAAUGAAAGUAGAUUUCUCUCCACACAUUUGAGAUAUAUUUUAAAAUUAAUGUUCAGUAUAUCUCUAAAUUAUAUUAUAAAUAUUUUUAUUUAAAAUCUCAACAGAUUUCAUAACGUACAAAGAGAAAUACAUAUAUAUGUUGUAAUGUUUUAAUGAUGGAUCUCCAAAGUUAUCAAGUUAAAAAAUAAAUUAAAAAAUAAAAAAUACACACUUCAACUUAUUAUAUGAUAAAAUAUAAUAAAUUAAAGUGAGUAUUAUAUUUAUUUUUUAUUUUAUCUCUUAACUUAAUAACCUAAAAUAUAUUUAUUUAAUAAUGAUUAUAUAUAUAUCUAUAUAAUUUUUUUAAAAAAUAAACAAUUUAAGUGAAGCAAAGGACAUUUUAGAGGCAUUGCGAGACUACCAAUUUACCAUUUUGGGUUGCAAUAAAGUGAAAACUGUAGACUACCAAUCUACCAUUUUAUUGAAUCGGGUCCCGCUGACUUGGAGCUUAUGUAAAGUUACAUUCAUAACAAAUUGAUACUUGUCUUUAUUAUAAAUUAUUCUUUUAUUCAAAUAUACGUUCAUUUCUUCAAUCAAGUCCUCAUAUUUGUUCAAUUUAUGAUAAGAUCCUUGUAUGGGAGCAUAUCUGCAAAUGUAAUAAUUAUUCUUCUAUUUCAGAUAGUUUUUGUGAAAAAAUACUUUUAUCAAUUAUUUAUGUUUACUAAUUCUUAUGUCUUUUUUUAUUACUUUCCAUAGCUCUAUACAAAUGUUUGCUAUAGAAUUUGUGUUAUUUCGCUAUAAUAUAAUUUAUAUUGUAAACCUCUGUUCAUCUGUAAAUAAAAUGACAAUUUUUUUGUUUACUCCUAAAAAAUAUGAAAAUAUUAAUUUACUCUCAUAUUUAUUUAGAAGACAAUGGCAAAUAAGGUCGCAUUGAUAAUUUUUUUUAUUUACUUAUUAAUUAAUUAGAGUAAAUUAAUAUUUUCAUAAUGAGAGAUACAUUGAAGAUUGUCAUUCUUAGUAGAGGGUAAAUUAAAGUUUAUCUAAUUAAUUUAAAAUAUCAUUAAAAUUUAACAUUCUAAUCUGGAUUAGAUUUCUGGGGGGGAGGGAGGGGAACGUCCUUAUUCGGAUUAGACUCAGCUGGAAGAGGCACAUCCUUAGCUGGAUCAAUUUGUUCAAGAUUGGAUGCAUCCAUCGGUUUCAAAUUUGUCUCUUGUAAGCAUCAUCGGAUUUCUUUACUAAAAUUUAGAUUAUCAAUCACAUCUAAAACUUAUUGAAUGAUACAUUUCAUUUCUAUAAAAUUGAGUUACUAUUACCACCUCACAUCUUAUAAAUUCUAGAAAAUAAUCAAGGCUUGACAUACUUUUAUUUAUGCAAAAGCAUAAGAAAAUAAUUCAAAGUACUAAUUAGUGCAGUAUUACUCAAAAUUCUAGAAUAGAUUUGCUAGUUCUCUUUAGCCAUAGAUUGGUCCAUGAUUGGCACCGCAAUAGCUCAGAAUCACCUCAACGAUUGUUCCACACAGCCCAACAUGACACACUGUAAACUAGUCUAACAUGAACUUUCUGAGUGGCUUUCUAACAAUAGUCUUAGAGAAAGUGUUUAGUAGUAUGAAGUCUUCUUUUUUUAACAUAAAUGUUGGCAUGAUAUUCUUAAUAUAUUUCUAAAAUCAAAAUAAGAUGCAUAGAGGACGAUGAUAAUUUUAUUUCAUAAUUGAAUUUUUUGCAAAGAAAGUUUGAACAUGAGAGUGAUGAGAGAUGAGAAUAUUGAUGAUGGUGUGUACUUUAGAUGUAAAAAUAGAUUGGAAAUAUAUAUAGACAUAUUAAAAGAAAAAAAUUUGGUCUAUUUCAUAAGAGAAACAAAAAAUUAUAAACGCGGGUGUUAAAAUAUAUUCAGAAUUUAUAAAUUUUUAUAAAUAUGAUAAUCAUUAGACCCUUAUAAAAGUAUAGCAAAAAGUUUAAAUUUUUUUAAUAAAUAUCGAAGAGAUGGACGAAGAAACCAUCCACCAGUUCAGAAUUAAUAAUCAAAGAUAUGAUGACUUGAUUGAAGAAAUGGUGAAAAAUAAAAGGACAGUAGGACACUGGGUUGGUUGGCAGGACCCUAAUAUUAAUGGUUAAAAAUAAAAGGACACUGGGUUGGUAUCAAUUUCUACCGUGUAGGUUCAUAGCCGGGGAAGUAAUUGGGCACAAAUAUCUCGGAUGAGAAAUAACCAUUUUAUCCCGCAACCAUAUGUUUAUGGCCUCUAAAAAUUUUCACCUCUUUCACUUCUGGAACCCGUGGUUUCUGGCACAUGCACAAUACUUGGUUGCUACUUAUAGAGCGUUUUUAGAAUUGCAAUAUAAUCUACAGCUGGUUGUUGACAUUACACUGCGGGUGUGUAAUUAUUACAUAUGCAGAUAUUCUCCCAUGCGAGGAUCUUAUCAUAAAUUUAAAGGAUACGAGGACUUGAUUGAAGAAAUGAACGAAUAUUUGAAUAAAAAAAAAUUUUAAAAUAAAGACAAGUAUUAAUUUACUAUGAAUGCAACUUACAUAAGUUAGCGGGACAAUAUUGAAUCACACGCAAAAAACAAUCUGUCUUCUUCUUGAUUUCGUAAUUUAGCUGUCAAAAUAUAAUCUAUAAAGAUUACGAUACCUCGAUUCAAAAAAUGAUGUAUCUGAUGAAAUAAAUGAAAAUUGAACGUACAAUCUACCACGAACACUAUUCAAUUAACCGUUUAUUUCCCCUUAAAUUUUUAAUUUCAAUGAAACAUAGAUCUAAUGGGAACUACAUAUAUAUAAAAAUACUAUAGAUUGAAGAAGUUGAAUUUUUCUUGUGUGUUAAGUAUUUUUAGUUAAUACAAAAGGAUUCUAGCAAGUUAAUACAAAAGUAUCAUAAAUUCAUAGUAGUACAAGAGAUUUUUUUUUUUCUUUGAUGUUAAGAGUUUUGGAGAUAAAAAAAAAUAUAUAUAGGUGAAAGAAGAAGAUGAGAGAAGAGAAAAUAUUAAGAAUAGUUUUGGAAUUUUGAUGCGUUUUAUAGAGUAAAAUCUAUAUUUUAUAGUAUAAAAUGAUAUACCCAAAAUUUAAUGAUAAAAUUUUAAGAAAAAAUUGCACUCGUCAAAAAAAAAAAAAGCUCAGCUUAGCCCAAAAUUUUUUUAUUAAUCAUCUAGUCACUAAUGUAAUCUCUUUUUUAUGAGAUUCUUGAGCAUUUUAAUUUAGUCCAUUGUUAGCUAUCCUAAUAGCUUUUAUGUGCAUCUAUUUUUAUUUGAAAUAUGUUUCAAGCUUGAAUAAAAUCUGCGGGACAACUGGUAAGUAAUAAAGCUCAUUAAUUUUUUAUUUUGAAAAUAAAGGGAAUCACUUACACUUAGCAUGAUAUUAUUUUUGAUAAGUCAUUUUUUUGGUAGAUUAUUUUUUCUGACACGCUCUUAGAUUUAGUGAAAAUAAAUUGUAUACUUUAAACGAAGAAAAGUAAAGAUCAACCAAAUAUUUUGUUCUUUCCGACAACUUUUGCGUUCUCAAGUGCGCCUGAUACCCUUUUUUUUUUAACAUGAGCCCACGUGCCAUUGUUUCCAUUUCAAGUUCAUAAUUUAACAGUAGAAAUGGGUUCCACAGAUACUUUAUUUUAUAAUUUUUUAAAAAAUUACCAAAAUAUAAUAAAUAAGGUAAUAAUAAUUAAUAAAAAAGUAGAUUUUAAGAUGGAAAAAUCUUUUUGUGUGCUUAAUAAAAAGAUGAUAAGAAUGGGAUGCUUUUAGUUAAUUGGUUUACAUUCUCAUGGUUAUUUAUACUGAAAAAUUACAUCAAAAUUUAAUUAAUAAAUCAGUGAACUGCAGACUUAUUAAAUUUAAGCUAUUUUAAUAAGUCAUAAAUAUACUAAGUUAAAAUAGUAGUAAACCCAUUGUUACACAAUACUCUCCAUUGAGUGUUCACCAUUUUAAGAUAAUCAUAAAAUGACACCGGAAGUGCUAUUAUAGCUGUCUCAUGGAAAGCCUUCACCAAUAAAAAGGAGGAUAGAGCACAUACAUCCAGUUUUUAUACCCUUUGAUGCUCAGUCGACACGUGCCAAUGCUAUAGACUAUCGGAUAAUCUACUAAGGUGACGCAUGCCAAUGCUAUAGACUAGCUUUUCAAAGGUUGAACUGGGAAUACUUUUAGUAAAAAGACCUGCAAAAUCAUAGUGUACCUAUUUGACAUCAACUUUUUUUAUCUGCUGGAGCUUAUGAUUAUAGAAGAUCUUCGGUAAGAUGUGUUUGAUAUUAGAAAAUCUCCUUUUAUAUAUCCUCUUCUAACUUGUGUAAUAGUAGUAAACCCCUGCCCCUCUUUAUUUCGUUUAGUAUUUUCUAAAUGGCCGAAGGAAAAUUGGUAAAAACUCAUUUAAAAAUUAAAAAAUCAAAGAAACUCAAGAAGAAGCUUUUGUAUCUGCCAUUUGUAUUUGGGGUAUUUUUUUGGUUGUUAAGUGAAUAAGCUUAAAUCUAAAACAUUUAUUUAUAUAUUUCUUGUUGGAAAGAAUUUAAAUUUUAUUCUUAUUAGACUUAUUCUCUCUAAACAAAGGUAGAUUUUUCUCUAUGUGUUUAACGUGUAUUUUAAAAUUAAUGUUCAACAUAUCUUUAGAUUCUAUUAUAAAUAUUCAUAUCUAAAAUCUCAACAGAUUUCAUAAUAUAUAAAUAUAUAUAAAGAGAGAGAAUAACGUUUAUAAUAAGAAAUUUAUUAAGUUAAAGAAUAAUUCAAAAGAUAAAAUAACACACUCUAAUAUAUUAUAUAAUAAAAUAUACUAUAUUAAAAUAUAUAUUUUGUUUACUUUUUUUAAUAUAUCUCUUAAUAACUUAAGAAAUCCUUUGUUUAACACACACUCUCUCUCUCUAUAUAUAUAUAUAGAGAGAGAGAAAUGUUCGCGGAAAACCUUUAAAACCACAUGAUUUUAAAUAUUUAAACUUUAAGAACCGAUGAACAAUUUUUGACAAAGACGUUGCGACCUAAGUAGGGAUAGCAACUAAAUUCGGAUCCAACUCCGCAUGUAAGGAUCCGAAAGAUCCAGAUCCAGAAAAUUUUUAUCUGAAUAUUAAAAAAUGUUGAUCCGAAUAUAGAAAUUUGGGAUCUGCACGGAUUGGGAUGGAAGUACAUUCGGAAAAUUGGAUAUCGAGAUCUGGAUAAAUUUUGUUUCAAAUUAAAAAUUAAAUUAAAAAUUAAAUGAAAAAUUAAAAAAGUAAAUUUUAUUUGUGGAUUUAUGAUGUUGUUGUAUAUUAUUCAUGUUGAAUUAUUAAUUGUUGGAUUAUGAUUGAAUUUUGUUUGAAAUUAUUGGGUAAAUUUUUUAAUUUUAUUUUAAAUUAAAAAUAUUUAUUAAAAUUAAAUAAAAAUAAAACAUUAAAUUUUAUUUGUAAAUUUAUGAGAUUAUUGUAUGUUAUUCAUUUUGAAUUAUGAUUAAAUUUUAUUUGAUAUUAUUAGGUAAAUUAUUAAACUUUCAAAUUAUAUAUUAAAUUAUUUAAUUUUAAUUUUUUGCGGAUCCGAAUAUCUAGAAUAUCUGUCCGCAUCCGGAUCUACAUAUUUUUUUAUGAAUCCAGAUAUAAGAAUAUGAAUGCGGAUCCAAAUUCGGAUUUUGCCAACCCUAGACCUAAAAUGUUGUGACUUGUCUGUUCUACUUCAAUAUUAAGCACAAAUUCUCUGUCAACAUGUCUGUUCUACUUCAAUAUUAAGCACAUUCAUAGCGGUAUCAAAAUGUUGUGACUUGUGACUACCCAAAAUCCCCAGAAAGAGUGAGAGAUUUCACUGAAGCUAAGUUGUGACUUGUGACUACCCAAAUGUUCUAUAACACGAUAUGAUUAUUCUAGUAACACAAAUCCAAUAGCAUGCAACAUAAUCUACUCUCUAACAUUGUGCAUUAGUAAAAUAAAACAGAGUAAAAAGAGAAACCAUGCCUGUGAAUCUCUUCUUUUCCCCCUGCCACCCCUUUUUUCGGUGAAGUCCAUCAAAUGAAAAUGCAGCAUGACCACGUUGGCCACUGCCACUGCCAUUGCUUCUUCAACUGUGCCUUUUGUUGCAUGAAAUAUUCAAUUGAAAGAUGGUUUAUAUAAUUCAAGAUUCCAAUAGACCUGAGCUGCAAAGGUUGCCUUCCACUAGCCUAUCAGAGAAUAUGCUUUCUAUUUUCCUAGUUUUUUAAUCAAAAUUUUGCAAGAUUUAUUUAUGGAAUACUUGAACAAAAUUUUAUGUAAGAUACCAUAAAGCCAAAUGCAAUCUUUUUAAUCCUCAGCAGCAACAUUUAAAGUAAAAAAAUGGAAGCCAUAUAAAUAUAACUAUGUUUGGUACAAGCAACAAUUAUUUCAAGCUUUCAGAAAUGCUAGCAAGAGAUUGUAAGAGAACUUUACCUAGUCACAGAAUAUGUCAAACAUACUACCACCAACUGUCUUCAGCACGAUUGUUAUGAAGUCGCUUUUGAAUCGGAAGAUUCCAGCUUCCACCAGGCACCAUUAUUUUCAUUCUUGAUACUAUCUGCAUCACUGGCAUUAGUUAUAUCAUCAACUUUUGCAUCCUCACUCUCAUCAUCCCAAUCAAGGCUUCUUCUCCAGCUCUGGAUUAUAAGUCCACUCCGACAUCUUCAAACAUCUCGGUCCUUCCAUUUGCCAACAACCGAUAUGGCUUCCUUCCUUGCCUUCCCCAUUAAUAUAUCACUCGAAGGAAAAAUAGCCCCCACAAAAAGGGUCUUCAGACACCGCAACUUUGCCUUCUGCAAAACCUCCACAAAAUCUGAAUUAUCCAACACAACAGCCAGACACUCAAUCCUUCUUUUGUCCAUCUUAUCCACCGUAUGAUUCCUCAACAAAAUAUCUACAGCUUGUGGCUUAUCUAACACUGUCUUGAUCCAAAACCCCGCUCUUUUCAACUCAUCUGCCAAACCAUAACCCACUUUUGGAGUCAAAAUUGUCCUUGCAGCCCUUUUAUAUUUUUCCAUCUCCAUCGAAUACUUGCCACUCAAAUGGAAUUACCAGACAGGAAUCCCAGUAACAAGUCCACUCAACUUCUUCUCAUCUGAUCCCUCUUUCACUCUGGCGGAAACAUUAAUAACCAUUCACCAGCCACAAAUUACCCAAGUAAGUACUCGUGUCGUCAACACUUACCCUUCACUUCAUCGACGCAAACAAGAAUUCAAAUUGCUUAUUAGCUAGUGCUCGAGCGAAAGCCAAAAUAAAUUAAAUAUGUGUGUGUGUGUGUGUUAAAAGAGAAACGGUAGCGAAGUUAUUAUACAAUCAAGCAAACAAAAAUAAAUUCUACCCUCAUGUGGGUGUUUCGCUCGCAAAAUCUGGACAAGAAAAAAUAAUAUUGAUACAAUCUCCAAAUAAAGAGCAUUCCUCUUGGUAAAAUAGACAAAUCCUAUAAAUUUUGAUUAAUGGUGCCAAAUGAAAGAGUUGUAAUUUCAUGUACAUUUUGUUAACAUGAAUAAGGGUACAAAAUAGAUAACAAAGUGACAAAAACAAGGCUAAUCACAAUGGAUGAUAAGGUUUAGAGUAAACAUAAAGUUAUAAUCUUGAACAUAAGUGGCGCUCAAAGCCAUGAAUUUGAUAUCAUCAACAAGGGGAGUUCAAACAACGGCAUGUAAGAAGCAACAACUGUUGAGAAAAAAAAAAUUCAUAGUAACACGAGAAUAAAUUGUAAAGAAAUCCCAGUUUGUAUAAAAGAAAGAAAACAAAAUUAAGGAAAACAUAAACACAACAAAAUUUGACUGAUUAUUAAAAAUGAGAAAUGAGUUAUAAUGAGAAUUUUGGCUUUGUGGUGAAAUAAAUUGGGAAGUAUCCAAAAUUCGCAUGUAAAUAAUAUAAAUGAUAAGAAGACGAAGGGAACAAAAUGAUAAUAAGCAAGCCAAAUAUUAAAAUGUAUUACACCUCCUAAAGUCAUGUUAAGAUAGUUAGUGAGCUGAUAAAGUUUGUUGCACGUUUGAGUUGGUUUUUUUUCUUUUUAAAAGAAAGUAACCAACCCUUUCAUUAAUCACAAGAACUUGAGUACAUCGUAUAAUUCAGUUAGAAUAUUUUCCAGCCACAUAAAGGGAGAGUUUUUCUCCAAAACUAUCUUAUUUAAGUAAUGGGCACAUGCAUUACAAUGUCUUAGAAUGUGAUUGACAACAACUUUUUGGAAGUUUUUCAUCUGGUUUUGGAUUGCCAGAAUUGUCCAAAAAAAUUUUGAUCUGUUGCCCUUGGUGUUGUUCACUAGCUGGACCACCUCUAAGCAAUCUGACUCAAUGAUCAAAGAGGUUACAUCCGCACUUCUUGCCAGCUGAAGGCCCCAAAGCACAGCCUCUACUUCAGCCAAGCUUACUGACCCCUUUAGGAGGUUCUGAUUAAUCCCAGCUGCAACUAUCUUACCAUUAGAGUCUCUAAUCACAGCUCACACUCCUUCACUCAGAUUCUUUGAAUUAAUAGCAGCAUCCACGUUAACUUUGAAAACAUUCUCAGGGAGGAGCCACUCCUGAUGCUUCUCUUUUCUGUGGAGAGAGAUAUGAGCUUGCUCGGGCUUCUUAACUCUCUGAAAUGCUAUCAACACAGAUUCCACUUUAGCAGCUGAGAUAAUAGGAUUAAUCUCCCUGCCAUCGAAAAUACAUUUGUUCCUAGCCUACCAAGCAGACCAACACAGAGCUACCAUUAAUUCCAAAUCUGUUUUCCUCAGCUCCUUAGCCAUUCUUUGAAGAGUGCUGAAGAUGUCCUAAGAAUUAGCUUCUAAGUUAUGGGCUGUAAAAGGGGACUGGAGCCAAAUCUUUCUCGCAACCUUGCACUCCAAGAGGGCAUGGCUGAUAGUCUCUACACUUAUUUUGCAUCGCUUACAAGUUGGCUCCUCCACUAACUUCCUUUUCCACAAAUUUUCCACCGAUGGAAGCAGAUUAUUUGAGACCCUCCACAUGAAGAUUUUAAGCUUCUCAGGUAGCUCCAGUGACCAAAGGGCACUCCAGUACUGGUUGGAAGCCUCUGAGCAGCUGGUAGAAUCUGAAAAUUUCGUUCUCAAUGCUAGUUGGUACCCACUCUUGACAGAGUGGUUCCCUCUUUUGCCGUAAUGCCAAAGCACUUCAUCUUCCGUUUGCUCAGCUGGGAGGGAAAUCUUGAGGAUCUCUGCUGUGUCUGCAUCCAUGAAGUGCUGUCGUGGCUUGAUUUCAUCCUAUUGGUUGUUAGCCUUAAUUAAGUCUACAACAACUGAGUUUACAGGCAAUGAUGGAAAAUAGAUCUGAAGGUCUCUGGUCUUGGCAGCCAAUUGUACGAGAAAAUUGCUAUCUUCUUGCCAUUACCUAUAUGCCACUCAGGCCCUUCUUAAUCACUUGCCUACCUCAAAGGAUGCUUCUCCAAAUAUACGAGGCAUUGGCUCCUGCUUCUGCACAUAAAAAGCUGGAUUUCCUGUAAUAUCUUGCUUGAAGGACUCUUGAGACUAGGGAAUUUAGGUACUGCAAUAACCUCCAUGCUUGCUUAGCUACCAAUGCUUGAUUGAAACAAGUAAACUCUCGAAAUCCCAGCCCCCUCUAAUCUUUGCUUGGCUAAGCUUCUCCCAUUUCCGCCAAUGGAUUCCGCGCUUAUCCCCUUUCGAGCCCCACUAGAACUUCACUAUAGCUCAUUGAAUAUCAUCACAAAGGCCUUUUGGGAGCUUGAAAACACUCAUUGCAUACACUGGAAUUGCUUGGGCUGCCGCUUUGAUCAGAAUUUCCUUCCCCCCACUAGACAACAUUUUAUGCUGCCAUCCUGCAAUCUUGUUCAACACUUUCAGUUUGAUGUCAUUAAAGAACCCCAUCUUCUUCCUCCCAAUCAUUGAUAGAAGACCGAGGUAUUUCUUGUGCUUUGAGACCACAUUUAGAUUAAAGAUACCCCUUAUAGCAGCCCUUUGAUGCUCUAGAAUUUUGCCACUGAAGAACAAUGAGGAUUUCUGAAAAUUAAAGAUCUGUCUUGAUGUUGCAGCGUAUUUAUCAAAAAUCUCUUUUAAAUGAAUGCAUUCAGCCACUGAUGCACGAGAGAAGACCAAGCUGUCGUCCGCAAACAACAAGUGAGUAAUUGAAACUUCCCGUACAAAUUUGAGGCCUCGGAUUAGCUGGUUUUGUUAUGCCAAUAUCAACAAAUUGGAGAGAGCCUCUGCACAAAGAAUAACAAGGUACGGGGAUAGUGGGCAGGCCUAUCGCAAGCCUCUUUCCAGCUGGAUCAUUCCUUUUGGCACACCAUUAAUAAGCACCGAGAAUGAAACGGAAGUAACACAUCUCAUUAUCAAAGCUACCCAAUUACUAGGAAACCCCAACUUUAUCAUAGUUUGUUCUAAAAAGGGCCACUCAACUCUAUCAUAAGCCUUACUUAUGUCCAAUUUUAAAGCCAUAAGUUCGUUCUUCUUCCCUUUGCUAUGUCUUAUUUUAUGAAUGCAUUCAUAACCAAUAAUGACAUUAUCGGUAAUGAGCCUAUUAGGGAUGAAUGCACUUUACAUUGGGGAGAUGAUUUGGGAAAGGAUCGGCUUCAUUCUAUUUGCAAUGGCCUUAGCUACAACUAUAUAAAUAACAUUACAAAUGCUGAUAUGUCUAUAAUCACUCACUUUCCUAGGAUUUGCAAUUUUUGGAAUCAAAGCAAUAAAAGUGUGAUUGAGGAUAGAUGGGUUACCUUGCUCAUUAAGGACAUUAAGACACGUUGAGAUCACUCAUUUACGGACGGAUUUCUAAUGCUUCUGAAAGAAGACAGCUGGAAGACCAUCAGGCCUUAGGGCCUUUGUGGGGCACAUGUUGGCAAGGGCUUCCUCUACGUCUUCAGCGAUGAACGGCUUUUCCAGCUGAACAUUCAUCUCCAGAGUUACUUUUGCAGUCAUUCCUUGAAGGGUUGCUUGGAUUUGGCUUGGAGUCGGGCUGGAAGUAGUGAAUAGCUCUUGGAAAUGGCUGCAAAACUCCUCCUCUAUUUCAUCCAUGUCCUUCACCCAAGUGCCUUAGUCGUUUUCAAUCCCCCACACCUUGUUCUUCCUUUUGCAGGCAGAAGCUUUGGCGUGAAAAUACUUCGUGUUCUUAUCCCCUUCUCUAAGCCAGUUGGCCCUCGAACGCUGUUUCCAGUAAAUCUCCUCGUCAACUAGCAUAGAGUUAAUCUGACUUUCCAACCUCUUAAUUUCCUUGCCAUCAUCCAGCUUUGAAUUCCAUCUCAUAGCAUCUUGAAGGCUCUGCAUCAACUUUUCUUGCUUUCUUUGCCUACCAUUAAAUUCGGUUUUGCUCCAAAGUUUUAGCUGGGCCAAUGAAGCUUUGGCCCUUCUCUAAAAUUGUUGAACAGGGGAUUCCCAAGCUCUAGUCCCAUGUCGACUCCACUCUUCCUGGACUCUACUCUUGCAGCCUUCGUGAGAACUCCACAUAUCCUCAUAAUGAUCUCGGGGGAAUGAUUUGCCCACAUUUCUCGAAUUCUUGCUUCGCUCAUUGAAUUCUAGAAUGAUUGGGCAAUGGUCCAAAGUCCAGUUCACUAGAUUUGUGGCUAUAGAUUCUUGGAAUUUAAUCCCCCAAUCCUUACUACACAGAAAUCGGUAUAAUCUCUCCUCAAUGAAAUGAUCUCCGUAUCUUUUAUUUGACCACGUAUAGAGAUAUCCCUUACUACCCAUAUCCUGCAAAUUGCAGUUUUGCACAACUUCCCUAAACUCGGCAACCAUAUUCAGAUUUCUCUCAUUGCCCCCAUUUUUCUCAUGCAUAUGCAUUAUCUCAUUGAAAUCCCCAAAACAGCACCAAGGAUAGGAGAAUAGACUGGCAACCCUUUUCAUGAGAGUCCAAGUAUUAUGCUUCUGGCUGAACUCGGGAUGGCUGUAGAUCCCUAUGCAUCUCCACCUCAAUCCACUUUCAUUACUCACUAUUGCAUCUAUAUGAUGUGGGCUGUACGAGGUAAUGCUAACAUUAACAUCUGCACUCCAAAGCAAGGCUAGACCUCCCCCCAUGCCCGUUCUAUCUACUGCAAAACAAUUCUCGAGAUUAAAGUCUCUACAAAUAGAUUCAACUUGCCUAGCCAACAUCUUGGUUUCACAAUAGAAAAGAAUUUGAGGCUGGUGUAGGUGGAGAAUUUUUUUGAGAGCUAGGCGCGUUCGAGGUUUCCCCAGACCUCAAACGUUCCAACUUAGGAGUUUCAUGGUUGUCGACGGGCCUGAAAUUCAGCACCCGCCGAUACUUCUUCUUCCAUAGCUGCCACAUUUUCCCCUUCAUCUGAUAUCUCUUCUGUUAUCUUUAGCUGCCGAGCUGUUCUGUUGGAGCUAAUGUGGUUGCAGUAGUCUGAGUUUAUUGCUAAACUUAUGUGGUUUCCCACGUGUGGUUGUUUUGGUGGACUGAGCACUCUUUUUUUUUGUGGGCUGAGCUGAUUGUCAUCACUACUAGGUCUUUUUGCUCCUAUUAACCCAUGAUCCUUCGCUCCUUUUGCUAUGGGAAUUCUUGCCUUAAGUUUCCAUUUUCUUGCUUUGGGCUUCACGUUAGUCUUGCUUGGCCCACUAUCCAUUUCUUCCAUAUCUGAUCUGGCACUCUCUUCAGCCUGCUUCCUUUUAUCUUUUAUUAUUUUCAAUCUUGCUUUAUCCAUAGGAUUUUCGUUUUCCUUCAAAAUCUUUUCUCCCACCUUUGUACUUUCAUAGCUAUAAUGGCUAUCAUUACUUGCCACCCUAUUCUGCACCUCGUCGAUGUCACAGCCCAUACUUUGACUCCCCACUUGCUGAUUUUUCGUCUAUGAAGAGGUCAACAUUAAAUGUGCUUUGUCAUAUUUCAGCAUGUUUCUUGUAUCCUCUAGUUCUGCUCCAUCUUUUAUUUCCUGAUUCGAUUUGUUCAAUUUUGACCUGUCUCGAUCAAUCGGGUUGUUUGAGCUUGGGCUGGUUGUUGCUUGCACAUUUGCUUUGAGAUUGGAUUGCUCUCGAUUGCCUUUCUCUCUACUUCGAUUUUGCUUUAUCCUGUCAGCUUGUGUAACAGUUCUCAUCCAUCCACCAUAAGGCAAGUCCUCCUUUUGUUGCCCUUUGUAUCUCAGGCAUUCCCUGUACUGGUGACCGAUAUGCGCACAACAAAAGCAAAAAUCAAGAAGUUUUUCAUACAAAAUUGGCAUUGGAGUUUUGCCAUCCGCUUGUUGUAGGAACACAAUCUUUUUUAGAGGCUGUGAAAUGUCAAUGGAUAUCCUGACUCUCGCAAACUGCCCAAUACAUUCCCCAGCUUCGUCUGUCUCCACUUCCUUGACUGUACCAAUUUUUUCUCCCAGCUUUUGGAUGACCUCCUUGUUCAUACACAUUAUUGGUAUGUUAUGGAUCUGAACCCAGAAUGUGGUAUGUGUAAAAGAUUGAUUUUUGAUAUCUCCAGUCAAGACUAUCAAUACUUUGUCGAAAUGCCACGACCCUCCCAUGAGCACCCUUUUCUUUUCUUCUUCAUAGGCGAACUUGAACAUGAAAAUGUUAUCCCCCAUGCUUUCUAUUUUAACCUCUUUGACGGAUCUCCAAGCCAUUUGCAUUGCAGCUUUCAAGCCCUCCUUGUUUAUACUUCUUGAUGUUAGCACUUUGCCCACUAAACAAUUCGCAGCUACUUCCUCUCCCUUUAUCUUCAUCCGCCCCAUGAAUGUUACGUUUAAUAUUAUAACGCUGUCAAUGGCAAAGUACGUGAGUGAUACAAAUUAAAAACAAACAAAUCAAACCCUGUGCACUGUCAUCCCUAAUUAUAUUUACCACUUCAUACUCACAGUGAUAAUAACUGUGUAUCACAGUUGACUUUCCAGACGGCUAAAAGUUCCAAGUCCGGAUGCUUGGUUAUUGAAACUUGAUGAAAAGGGCAUGAAAGAAAAUAAGAAAUUAAAUAAUACAGGAGGUAUUAAUCAUAACAUCUCUAGUUAAUGAAAAUUGAUGAACGGUAAUCCAAUAUUUCUGCAGACAUGAGCCGUAAUUAUGAUACCAUUAAGAAUGAAGCAGAAGAGUUUCCCCAAAAAAGUUAAAACGCGGCACUUGGAUUUAAAGAAUUAUCAUAUCACAGUACCGGGACAAAAAAAGGUUAAUGCAACAACAUACAUCAAGUUAAUUCCAUAAUCUAUCGCCAAAGAAAGACAAACACAAGCUUAUAAGAUUAAAACUUUGGAAAACAUUAGAGUCGGACAAAAUUGUGCAAUCUUCAGAGUUUGGAGCCUAGUUCAUCCAGGAAAGCAAAAGAAAUAAUAAUAAUAAUAAUAAUAAUAGUGGUUUGAUCUCAAAAGGUGACAUCAAGGUGGUAACUUUGAGGUAUUGGAAGCUAAAACGUCUUCAACUUUGUCCUGAUUUUGAAGUCCCUUAACCCAUCCGCCAUCAAUGGAUUGAAUGCUUCCAUUCAACCCAUCAUCCACAAAAUCACCAACCCGUUUCACCUUCAUCUCCUUCGGCUUAACAGGGUACUUCCCAUAGAAGCAAGCAUAACAAAAAUUCUGAGAAUCAUCGCCUGACAACUUGUUCAGGCUGUCAAUUGGCAGAAAAGCAAGCGAGUCACACCCAAUAAACUCCCUGAUUUCCUCGACGCUCAUCCUGUUGGAAAUCAACUCCUCACUACUUGGGGUGUCCACUCCAUAGUAACAACUUAACAAGAAGCUAUGAUUGGUGGGCUUGCAAUUCUCAUGUGAACCUCUUUAGCUCCAGCCUCCUUAAGCAACCGAACAAUUUUCGAUGAAGUUGUUCCUCUCACUAUUGAAUCAUCCACAACCACAACUCUCUUUCCCUCCAACACUCCCCUUACAGGAGAGAGCUUAAGCUUGACACCAAAGUCCCUAAUUUUCUGGGACGGCUCAAUGAAAGUUCUCCCAACAUAGUGUGACCUUAUCAACCCUUGUUGAAAUGGUACCCCGGCUUUCGCAGCGUACCCAAGUGCAGCCACCACUCCAGAAUCUGGUACUGCAAUCACAGCAUCACACUCAACAGGAGCCUCGGUAGCAAGUACUUCCCCAAAAUGAUACCUCAACUCAUAAACAGACCUACCAAAUACAACAGAAUUGGGCAAAGCAAAAUAAAUAUGCUCAAAGAUGCACUGGUUAGGUUCAGGGUGAGGCAUCAAACAAAGUGAUUGAACCCCAUCUUUAUCCACCAUCAAAACUUGGAUAUACCUCUCUCUCGUAUGUGGCCUCAAUCAAAUAGUGCACAAGUCUCUGUCGCAAAAACCAGAGCACCAUUACUCCUCCUACCCAUCACCAACGGCACAAACCCAUACGGGUCACGAACCGCAACAAGCUUAUCCUCAGUAACAAACACCAUUGAAUAAUUAUAUUAUUAUUAUUAUUGUUUUUAAAAAUAUCAUUUAUUUAUUUUUUAAAAUUUUUUUAAAGGUAAAGAAGUGGGUAAAGAUCAAAUUCAAUUUUUAUUCCUUACCCCCUAAGAUUUGAACUUAAGUGACCAAAUGUAUAAUAUUAAGCAUCUCAAAUUUCAUUUCUAAUGAUAUACAAUUUAUUAAGUGAUUGUUAAUCUUUACAAGAUUCGAGUGAAUUAAUUAUAUUAUUUCACUAUUAAUAAUAUGAGUAUCAUAUUAUUUGGAAUAACUUUUGAAUAAAAACAUUGUGAUGGAUGAAAUAUUCUUUUGAGAAUUUAUUGACUUAUCUCAUUUAUGAUUUAUUGUUGCAUUUAAGUGAUAUUGCAAAUAAUCUCAGAUAAUUUCAAGCCAUAUGUCAUUAUUGGGAUAAAAAUAAAGUAAAAUGGUUAAAACUAUUUUUAUGUAAUUUAUAAAAAUUAAUGAAGCAACUACAAAAUUUUUUAAACGAAAAACAAUUGAAAUGUGUGUGGAAAAAGAAGAAAAAAAAUAAGGCAUUUAAAUAUCUUCUUAAAAAAUACGAUUGAGUAAAAUCAUUUUAACAGAAUGCUCUUCCAAAUACAAUUCCACAUUUUUUUUAUUGCAGUGGGAUAUUCCAAAAUUGGCACAACUCAUUAAGAAUUCGGCAACUCAAAUUUUAUUUAUCACUCUAUGCAUUUGACAAAUUAAAAAGAAAAAAAAAAUUCAUAUAUCUUCUGUUCAAAAGAAACCUUGGUAAAUAUUGUAAAACAAAUUACCAUUUUUUUUAAUUUAUGCCAUUAUAUCGUCGCUAUUUUCUCGCCCACUUUCUUAAAAUAGAAUCAAUAUUCAUUGAUGGGUUGGGUUCCAGAGUAAGCACCAAUUCUGCAAAAUGGUUUUAUAGUAGAAAAAGCACUUGUAAGACAUUCAGAACACAUUUUUCAAUUUUGUCUUUUGAAAAUGAGUCUUGAGUUCCACAAGCCAAGAAGAAUGGCUAAAAAAUGUAUGGUAUCAAAGAAAGAGAAACACCCACACACACAGAGAUUAAUGGGGAGAUAUAUGAUUGUGUAAUUUGCAUAUAUAUCCCCAUUAAUUGUUGAUAGUCCAAUGGGUCUAUGCAAAAGGAAAAAAUUGGCUGUCCUUAAAGACAAAAUUGACUGUCACAUGAAAAUAAAAAAAUUUGUUACCACGCAACGAAAAUAAAGAUUUCAAGAACAACUUUAUGGUCCCCUUUCUGUCCAAACAUAUGCGAUAGCAAUUAGUGUAAACGACACUUGAAAUAUAUAUAGUAGAUCCUCACGCAAUUGAUAAAUAUUUAUAGUAGGAUGGAGUGAUAAAUAGUUUCACAAAAUUAUUGGAAUUAACUAUUGAAUACAUGAGAUCUAUCUCAUUAAGGAUAAAAGAUUUGAGUGCUACUUCAAAAGCAUGACGUUGCUGGCAACAAAUUUAACACAAAAGUUUAAUUAAUUAUCUUAGUUGAGACGAUAAAAUCUUGGAUUAAGAACAAAAGGUUUGAGGUUCGAACCUUCUCAUUCAAGAAAAUCAAAAUAUUACAUCUUCCAGCACAUAUCAAACAUUUUUUCAAAGGCAGACUGACAAUUCAGGGUAAAAAAAACAAAAAAACAAAAGGAAUAUAUGCUAUUGAAGACAAGUAUACCUUGGACAUGAAGUCUGAGUCCAGAACAAGAAGCAAUUAGCUGAUCUUUCAAUUUCCAAAACCCAACAAAAUCUUUGUCAAAAUAUACGAUCUAGUCCCAUAUUAAGCACAUUCAUAGCCGUAUCACCAGGUUCAAAAUAUUUUCCCCAAAAAGAGAUAGAGAUUCCAUUGAAGUUGAGUUGUGACUGUCCCAACGUUUGUAAUUAUAUGUUUCAGGAUACCAUGCCUAUGAAUCAUUUUUUUUUUCCAUGUUUCGAAGUCUAUCAAAUGAAAAUGUAAUUAUAUGGUUCAGGAUACCAAUAUGCCAGAGCUGCAAAGGUUGACUUCUACUAUCCUAUCAAUGUCUAUACUUUCUAUUGAAUUUCCUUGUUUGUUUUUUUAAAUUGCGAGAUUUAUUUUUAGAAAUCUUUGACACAUUUUAUGAAAGAUACCAUAAAACCAAAUACAACCAUUUUGAUUCAGCAACAACUUUUUUUUUUCCUUUUAAAAAAAGGAAGCCAUAUAAAUGAUGCUUUAAACAUUAUUUGCAGCAAGGAACAAUUAUUUCAUGCUUUCAGGUAUUAGAAACUUCCCAAAAAUGCUAGCAAGAAAAUGAAAUGGAACUUUACCUAGUCACAGAAUAUGUAUUGCUGUUAGCCCAAUUGUUAUGAAGUGGCUUCUGCAUCAGAAGAUUCCAGCUCCCACCAAGCAUUGUUAUCUCUCUUCUGAAUACAAUCUGCAUCCCUGGGCAUGAGUUAUAUCAUUAAUGUCUGCAUCCUCACUUACAUCAUCCCAAUCAAGUGUUUUUUCUCCAUAUCUGGAUUAUAAGUCCACUCUAAUCUCUUCAAAACAUCCUAGUCCUUCCAUCAUACGACUUCCUUCCUAAUUACUUUCCCAUUAAUAAAUCGCUCCAAGAAAAAAAAAGCAUUAACAAUUCUCUUCAACGCCCCAUCACUCAUAUCCCCUACAACAAACAUCUUUAGACACCUCAAUGUUGCCUCUUGAAAGACCUCCACAAAAUCCGAAUCAUCUGACACAACCAUCAAACACCUAAACCUUCUUUAGUCCACCAUAUCCACCAUAUAAUUCCUUAACUAAACAUCGGCAUCUUGUGGCUUAUCUAACACCUUCCUGACCCAAAACCAUGCUCUUUUCAACUAAUCUGCAAAACCAUAACCCACUUUUGGAGUCAAAAUUGCGCUUGCAGCCAUUUUAUAUUUUUCCAUCUUUAUUGAAUAGUUGCCAACCAAAAGCACUCUCACCUUCCCUCUAGUUGAUUCUAUUUGAUUCGACCUUUUCUUUUGUUCACCCUCAUGAAUUUGCCUAAAAUGAUUAAUAAGUUUGUCAUUAUUAUAAAAUCUCCUUCCACAAUCACCAAUACAUACGGCUUAGCAGGCCUAAUUACACCCUUGAUUUAUAAUUGGAUAAACAAUUCUUUUUCUUUCUUUGCUCUCUUACAACUUGAGGCACAUAACUAAACGUGUGGCUAUUAGCAUUUGCCACCAUGUAUUUAACAACCCCAAAUGAAGAUAUUAAUUUUUUUAGUUUAAUUGCUGCUUCAAAAUGGGGUACUGCAUUUGGAUUUUGUUAUUCAAAUUCCAAAAUGUUCCCACAUUGUGUUGGACAGUUUUUGGUUCUAAAGUUUAUGACUGGUUUUGCCAAUCAGGCUUCAAAUGAGAACUUCUAAACAAUAAGACAAAUAGGUUUUGAGUUUCUAAUCUUAUAAACUUUGUUCUAUUGUAUAAGUUAUGAAAUCGCUGAAACAUCACUACAGCUACAGGUCUUUAUGUGUCAAUGAACUGCAGAAGCUGAUGAUCUACUUGUAGUAGACUCCUAUUGCCCCUGCCAUUCUAGGAAGACAAACAAGUUCAGGAACUACAUCUGGACCAAACUCGUAAUAUUGCCACUGCUUUGUGCCAAUCUGAGACGGAAAGAAGAUUGAAGUUCCUAAAUAAGGCACAUCAUGAUUUAAUAGAAGUACCAUUAUAAGGAAAAAAUGAUUUCAGGAAAGCACUAAAAUAUGACAUAAUCUCCCCCUAAUGGUCUAAAGUAGUCAAGAAAUUAUAUCAACCAAGCAAAAACACAUAAACUAGUUGAGAUACAAAGUUAUCAUAAAAGUCAAUUUUGAUCACAAAUCCAUUAAAAUUAAAAGACAUCAGAAAGUUAUAGAACAUUAUAAUUUAGGACUUAGCUAAGUUGCAAAUUCUGUAAUUAACAGCUGAGUCCACAUUGGCCUUGCAUCAGCUGAGUUUGGGUUGCUUUUCCUCUCUCCUGCAACGCGUGAAAGCGUCCCAUUUGCUGUGUUAUAUACAGAGUCGGUACCGUAGCAAGCUCCUAUAAUUUAAGUUUGAUUACUGUAGACAAUAGUCUGCCUCUGUUCAAAAGCUAUGCUGCAAGAUAUAACGUCUUUGCAAUGUUGUACUUUCUAAAAGUAAUAAGAAAUGAAACCAAGGGGUAAACCGAACACCAAAAGAAAUUUAGUCGGCCAACCAUAUUAUGUUCCCACACAGUCCACUAAUUAAGUUAAUAAUUAAAGGGAAUUAAAAUCUAAGAAAUCUCAUCUUCAAGCAGAAUACAAACACACCAGGAUUGAAAAUCACAAAAUCAUAAAAAGAAGCUGACUUGAAAAGCUCAAAUAUACGUUCAUCAGCCUCUCAACUUAUAUCUAAGAACAAAUGCCUGCAGCCUGUGAAGACAUAGAUAAUUGAAGCUGAUGAGGCAUAUUUAACAGAUGAUAAUCAAAACUCAUGUGAUUAAAAUUAUAAUUCAAUAAUGGAUCACAUAAAACAACAAGUAACUAGUUGUAUAUAUACCAAACAACUUUCUGAAGUUAAGGCGUAAAACAAAAACGUAGAACAAAUUAAUUAAAUAUACUAGCACCAAUACUCUUAUUAUUAUCCACGUAGAAAAUAACAAUGUAUCAAACAAGGAAAAUGAAAUAUUGUUAAUAACUCAAAAACCACUAGUGUCAAGAACUAGACUAAUAAGUGAAACCCAUAAUCAGACACAACCACAUCAAAAUCUCUGAAAAUUGAGGUCUAAACAUUGAAAACAAUUAGACAUAUAUAACAGUCAAUCGAAACAAAGCCUCAAAAUAAUAAUAAACUACAAUAAGACAGAACCUAAAUUGUAAACACACGCAUACCCAGUAACAGUAAUCAAGUAACAAGUCAAAACCAGAAUCAAACGUAGAAUUUUGAAAUCCAUACGAACUCUAACGUAUUAGAAUGAAAGAAUAAGGAUGAUCAAUAAACUAGACUCAAACAAAAACAUGCCCAGUUAAAAAAUGAAGGUAAAUAAAUAAAAAUGGUAUAAAACUGCGAAAAAAAUUAAUGAAAUGAAGAGAAAAUCACAGGAAUCCUAUGAAGAGGAAGGUAAAGAAACCUUCCAGAGCCGAGAAGAUGCCUUUUUGGUUGACGUUUGUGCCUAUACAUAUAUAUAUAUAUUUUUUAAUUUUGAAGAAAGCAUUGGUUAACAGAAAGGGAUGGCAACGUGGCAGAUAUAUAUUAGAUUUAUUCUACUCCAGAUUCGUAUCCAUAAUAAAAAUUAAAAUUCGUAUAUGCUCUAUAUUUGUCAUAAAUUUAUAUUUUUCGUUCCAUAUUCAGAUCUAAAAAAUAAAUAAAUAUCUAUAACUGCUCUAAAUCUGGAAAAAAAAAUUAAAAUCCAAAUAUACUUUAAAUUCAUCAUGAAUUCUAAAACUUAGUAAUAAAAAAGUAAUAAUUUUUUAGAAUGAAAAUUGAAGACUAAAAUGUAUUGAUAACAAUAAAUUAUAUAUUUUUUCUCAAAAAUAUAAUAAAUAUUGUAGCUUAUACUUUUACACUAAAACAACAAAUAAGAAAGAUAAUAAAAUAUUUUUCAAAAGUAAUUGCAGGAGUAAGAUCAAUAUAAUAUUAUACUGUCUCUUUUAUCAUUUUAAUAUCCAUGACACACCUACCCUUAUUUCUACAACAUUAGAUAAUGACAUAUAAAUUAAAUAUGAUUUAUAUUCAGUGCUUUUUAUUUUUAUUAUGACCAUAUUUAACUAAAUAUAUGAAUAAUUAUAUUCAUUAAAAAUUAUUUGGCCAAUAUAAUGAAAUAAAUUGUCAGGUUGUAUUACUUGGCUUGCAAUUUGAAUAUUGCAUGUACAUGCUUUGGGGCUGGCUGAUCUUUAAAUUUACAAAACUAAUCUUUAAGUUUUAAGAGUUUAAAUACAUGGUAAAUAUUACUAAUAUACUAUGAAUAAAAUUUAUUAUCAUUAUAAUUCCACAAUUUUUAAGAAACUUUUAAAAUAAAAUAAAAUUAAAAGAUUGGUGGAUAUGGAUAUGGAUUUAGAUAUUAUGAUAGAUCCAGACCUGCUCCAGAUCUGUCUUAGAUCCGCACAUCAAUAUCCAAAUAUGAUCUAAAUUCAUUUUAAGCUGACCCAAAUCCGAUCCGAUUGGAUUUAGAUCACGUGGAUCUUGAGUCAGAUCCAAUCAUUGCCAUUAGGGAUGGCAAUUUGCGGGCCUGGGCCGGGCUUUUUAAAGCUCAGGCCCAAGCCCACAUCAGUUAAACGAUGUCCAGGCCCUUCAAAAGCCCGCCCAACCGAACUCGGGUCAGGCCUAAGCGGGCCUAGGCUAGGCUCGGGCUUUUAAAAUUAAUUAUAAAAUAUUUUUUAAAUUAAGAAAAUUAUUUAAAUUAAAGAUAAUAAUAUAAUAUAUAAAUAGAAUAAUAGUCAAAUACAUUAAAUAUUAGCAAUACAACCUAAUAAAAUAACAAAUACUAAUAUAAAAAAUUAAAGUAAUUUAAUAUUUUGAUUUUUUUCUUUUUUAUUUAAAUUAAAUUUAUUUUUUAUUCAUAAAUUUAGAAAGCCCUUGCUUUUUUGCUAAGCCCUUGUCUAGGCCCAACAUAUGUGGGCUUUGUAAUUUUUAGGCUCAUAUCCAAGCCCACCCCCUUGCGGGCCGGGUGUUAGGCCCGCGGGCCUGGGCUGGGCUUGACCGGGCCUGGGCCGGCCCGGGCUUUUUUGCCAAAUAUGAUCUAAAUUCAUUUUAAGCUGACCCAAAUAUGAUCCGAUUGGAUUUAGAUCACGUGGAUCUUGAGUCAGAUCCAAUCCAUUGCCAUCCCUAUUAACAGAACGAAAUAUUAAUAAUAGAUGUUGGCAAUUUCAACAAGGACAAUCUUGGAUUCAAAUGUACCCCUAUGAUAAAGAAAAAGCCAGCUUGGCUAAAUUUUGAGCACCACAUUACAAGAUCUAGGUGUAUGCUUAACUAUGCAAAAUGAAACAUCUAUUAAUUGUAAGUCCCUUGACCUCUGUAACCAGCCAACCGGUCUCUUUCCUACUAGACAACCUUCCAUCGACCAGAUUAAUAAUAUUUACUAAAUCAUGUUCUAUAGUUAAUGAAGUUGGACCAAGGCAAUUGUUAGCUUAAUGUCACAGGCCGCUCAAAUUUGCCGUAAUUGGAGGAUAAUUAUGUGCACAUGAGUUUGCUUAGCAAAAGUCCGCCUCGACGUGGAGUGCGCUUAAAAGCGGGAUGCACUUAGAAGUGGGAUGCGCUUAGCAAAUCAUCCAAGCCCAACCCAAGAUCUAGAACUCUCUGCAAAUUAUAAAUAAGUUAAAAGUUUUUAUAUUUCUCCACGUAGGUCCCUAGGAUAUUUAUGGAAGUUGCUAGGAAGUUUCCUCCCCUAAAAUGUUAACAUUUUGGUGGACGGUUAAUAUAAGUUACAAACUUAAAAUAGAAAAUCAAAUAAAUUCAAAUUUUCAAACUAUUUAUGGCAAAUUUAGGACAUAUGGUUAAUAAUUUUCCCAUGUCUUUUUACAUUGGUUGGUAUAAGUUACAAACUUAAAAUAGAAAAUCAAAUAAAUUUAUAUUUUCAAACUAUUUAGGGCAAACUUAGGGUAUAUGGUUAAUAAUUUUCCUUUAUUUUUUUUUACGUUAAAUUGAGUUUCAAAGGUAAAAUGGUCAAUUUAUUAUAAAUCUGUUAAUUUUUUAGUGGAAGCAAAUGAUAUAAUGGACGAAUGAUAUAAAUUGUAAAAUUAAGUUGCAUGAAUGAUACAACUUUAAAGUAUUGUAGUAAUCUUAAUAAUAGAACAAUUUAAGGGUGGAUUGGCAAUAAUUUAAACUUUAAUGAAGCAACUAAAAAAAAUUUUUAACAAAAGAAAAAUAAUUGAAAUGCUUUAAGAAAAAUAAAGGAAAUUAAAUAUCUUUAUAAAAACAUAAUUGAGUAAAAUCAUUUUACAAAAUGCUCUUUCAAAUGCACAUUCCACAAGUCAGGGAGAACGGGUGGCUAACAAAAAUCUCACUUUUUAUGAGUUUAUAAAAUCUCACUUUUGCAGAAUUCAAAAAUAACAAAUACUAAUCACACAAAAAAUAAAAAUUAUUGCUGUCACGACAUUACGCACUUUCUUCGUUGUCUAGAAAGGUAGAACAUUUCGAUGUUCCUCAAUACAAAAUGCGUGCUACUACUAAAUUGGCCCAAUUAAUGCCCAUCGAAAAGGCCAUGAAUUUAGCCAACAAUUUUGUCAAAAUUUCAGCAAUUGAAGAAAUAAUGAUCACAAACAGAACAGUUGAAUUUUGAAGUUUGAAAAAAUCUCCAGAUACGUACAACAAAGUCUUGAAGCUCUGGUCUUUACAAUUUGAGCACAGAAUAAAUAUUAACUACCUGCCAUUUAUAAUUUGUAUUAACUCUGUACCAAAACGUUAAUCGUCAUUCAUAAUUAAUGACGUGACAAUGAUAAUUUAAACAUUUGAUAUGCUUAAUAAAAAAUAAAAUAAUAACUUUAAAUAUAAAAAUUAAAAGAUAUUUUUAUAAUCAAUUCAAUUAAAUACACUUAAAAACUCACAUUAAUCCACAAAAUGCAUACAAAUGUACAGUACCAGAGAAUGAGAAACACACAUUUAUAGGCAAUCCAUUUGAGUUUAUGAAAUCUCAGUUCCCAAAAUCCAAAAAUAUUCAAUACACUCACAAACUUAAAAAAUAAAAAUGAUUGCUGUCAAGACACUUUUUAGCUGUCUAAAAAGCUAAACAUUUGAAGUUGUUUGAUACAAAAUGCAUGCUAAAUUGGCACAAUAAAUCCCCAUCGAAAGGUUAACAAUUGAAGGACAAUGAACACAAACGUAAUCUUUAGAUACAUACAACCAAUCCUUCAAACUUUAGUCUUCACAAUUUGAGCACGCCAUAACCACCCGCAAACAAGUUUUGGUAGCUUCUUGCGCGAACUGAACCCGCUGAAAUGUUUCUCUUAUUUUGUUAUUUUUUUUCUUUUUUUUUCUUUUUAGUCAUUUAUGUUCGCUGGCAUCUUCGUUGGCGUCUCUAUCUUCGCUGGCAUCUGCCUCGCCUGUAGUUUCAGUGCUAAUAUCCAACCAAUAAAAUGGGCAUUAAAUAUGAAUGAUGAAUAAAAUAAAAUAAAACAGAGAAAAUAAUGACAAGAAGAAAAACAAACUUUAAAAAAAAUUAUUAAAAGGGAAAUUUUGAGUUUAGCAUAGAUCAAACAGGCAUCACAAACUAAAACAAGAACCAACUAUAAAUAGAGUCAAUUAAUUGAAGUUCUCAAGAGCUUACCUCUGCUCCGGAAUUCUCGGAAUCAUCCACAUAUCUCCUUUUGAAUUUGCACCAAGCUUGGGACAAUUAUAAACGUAUGCAGAUGGAAAUCGAUUUUGAAAAGAGCUGUGGAAAAAGGGAUGGCGAAUGUUGCGAUAUGGAAAAUUUAGCAGUUCAAACUCCCGAAGUUGCUUCAUAACAAUUUGAUUGCAAUCCACGACGUCUGCUCCAUUUUUAUGCCAGAAUAUUGCUUCUAAUUCAUCAUUUCGUUCUAUCCGUAAGAAAUAUAGUUUUUGAAGACUUGGAGCUACGCCGAUAUGAAAUAGAUGCUUUAGUUUGGGGCAACCACAGACAGUGAUGCUUGUGAGUUUUGGGAAACAUACAGGUUGGAGAUGAUCCUCAUCCUCAUCCUCAUCAAUGAUUUGCUCUAAUUCGAAGCAGUUAUCAAUAACCAGCCCCUGCAAUUGCAACAGAUUUCGAGCAAAUGUUGAUGUGAAGAGACGCCUGAGCAUAGUGCACCCGUCCACUCUUAAAUGGGUAAGAUUUUGGAGGCUAAAAUUAUGCGUGGGACCUUCAUGAUAUAAUAAUACUUGCAGUUCUCGAAGGUUUUCCAACUGCACCUCCUUCAAACAUGGGAAUAAUUUGUUUUCUUGUCCCUUAGCGAUAAUAGCUUCCAAUUGAAAUACCACAUGUACUCCAAGUUGGCUAAUACCCAAUUCUUCCAAAUUUUUUAAGCCGUGCUUCAACAGUGCUGGAAUCGUGUCACUCAAAUGGGAACAAUUGUCCACAUAUAGAAUUUUUAAGUUCUGAGACAAAUAAAUAAAUAACUUGAUGCAAUUAAAAUCUAUUAGCAAGCUAGGAUUAUCACAUGAUAAGUGAUGAACACUGCAAAAAACAAAAACAGAAAACAAAAUCCAAACAAAAAUAUCAUAAUACAUAUGUAAACUAAUAAAAUAAUUAAAAAGUAAUGGAUUUAAAAAAAAAUUAGUUAAAAGAGAUCAUGUGAAGUGAUAUAAAUGUGACAUUAGAUUGUUUUAGAAAAAAUAUUAUUCUAUUAAUUUAUAUGGUUUGAUCAACUAUUUAAUUGAAUUUGAUUAAUAUUAUAUACACUUCAGAAGUAUUUGAAGAAUGGUUUUAGCCUUAUAAUAAAGAAAAUUCCCUAAGAUAUCUGAGCAUUAUUAUUAUCAUUACCACAUUCACGACCACCAUCAUCAUCUCCAUAGGAUCAAAAAAUUAAUGGCUGAUCAUAAAAUUUAUUGUUAAAAUAUCCUUUUGAGUAAAAUUGAAUGAAAAGAAAAAAUAUGAACCCAAACAGACAUACCUCUUUGAGAUACUGCAAAUUGGCUUCAAGUUCAUUACUGUUGAUGGUCAAGUUGGGACAGCAAUCAAGCUGUAACUCUUCCAAUGCUGCCCAAAUUGAACAAUAAUUCUCUGAACAGAACUUGGUGAGUUCUGGGAGAUCUUCAAGUUCUAAUUUUCUCAACAAAGGGAGGGCGAGCAUCGUAUUUCCAUCUCCGACACUUAUUUCCCCUUCAUUAUGAUCAAACUUUGCUUCGACAAUACAUUCCAGUCUCUCGCAUUCCCUUACAUGGAGACUUUUAAGCUGCUCCAAACUUCGAGCUUGUGACAACGUGAAGAUAUAUGUCAACUUGUUGCACCUAACCACAUUCAAUUCUGUAAGAGUUUGGAGACUGAUCACAUGUUGGGCGGGCGCCUUCCAUAUCCACUUCAGUUCUGGUAAGUUCCACAUAGAUAACUCUGCUAAUCUUGAGAGACUCUUUCCAUGCGGCGACUUAGAGGCUUCCAUUAUGCAUUCUAAAUCUUCGCAAUCGCCGACAUCAAGACAAGUCAACUCAUUUAAGCCCCUUUCAUCUAUGCUUGGCACAAUAUUGUAACAACCUAUAAUCCAUCUUAUAUAAAGAAUUUCCAGUUCUUGAUACAAAGCCGAAAAAAUACCGAGCGAGGUCACUUCAGGAGGGUCAUUCUCAAUGAUUAAGCUCUUUCUCUGACUACCAUAUUCCAUUUUAUAAAAAACUUCUUCACCUUUACAGAUGACGUACCUUUGCAAUUUCGGGAAUGUAAAGUCUUUUGGAAGAUAUACAACAGAUCCGUCGGCUUGGGAGUUCAACUCAGCAAGCCUAGCAUUACUUUCUUCUGAACUCAUCCCUUCAACCUCCCAAUUUUUUAUCCGACCAUAAAAUUCUUCUAAUUUUUUUAUCGUAAUGGGAGAAACAGAACUAGUAUCAAUAUGUAGAAGUUUCAAUCUACCAAGUUCAUCCGACAAUUCUUCAGGAAUUUCAAUGGGAGACGACCGGAGAUAAAGAAGUUCAAGUCUCUUCAACUUUCCAAGAAAAAACGCGUCACUCAAAUCACACAAAAUCAACUGCAGAACUCGGAGGUUAUUGGCUAGGAAUCGAAGUGAUUUUAGUGAAAGGACUCCAUUUAUUAUAGUAACAACUUUCAAUGCUGGCAUCCCUUCAAAAAAAUUUUCUGGAACUUGCAAUUUGUAGUCACAUAGAGUGUUGUCCAGUCGCAAAAUAUGAAGGUUAGGGCAUACCAAACGACUAGGAAGCUCUUCUUCUUUAUUUCCCAUUACAGAGAUUCCUCUAUAUUGCUCCGGGCCUUCUUCCAUUACCCGUUCUGCCAAUCCAAUGCCAACUUUACUAAAAAAUUUCUUCUCCACUAGUACUUCUGAGCCUAUCCAUAUGGCUACAUCACGAACUAUGUCAUGCAUUUUCACAGAUCUGUCAUUACCAGUGUCUAACAGUAGUGAAGCAGCUUUGAGUCCGUCAAUUGUUCCAAGCAGUAGGCUUCUGGUGUUCUCUAUUGACUCAGCUUGAUACCAAGUCAACCCUACUGCAUAUCCAACCAAAUCCUCCAAAUUAAUCUCAUAAUCUUCUGGAAAUAGCGAACACAACAAGAAGCAUAACUUGGAAUUGUCAUCAUUCAAUUCGUCGUAACUAAAUUUGAGACAACCGUAAACGUCUAAGUUCUCCUCAUCAAUACCUUCUAUUGCAUAGAGUUUUGCAGCCUUUAGGUUAUGUAGAGCUAGGUUCCAUUCAUUAAAUCUUUUUCCUCUUAGUGCACUUCCAACAGCUUCAAUAGCUAAAGGCAGCCCCUUACAUUCUCCAGCAACUUCUUUGGAAACAUCAUUCAAGGUGGAGUCAUUUACAUUAAUUUUGGCAUUUUUUCGCAGUAAAGCCAAUCCUUCUUCUGGCGUUAGUGUACUAAGUGGAAUCUGUGUGUCACAACCCAAAGAAUCACAAACUGACUUUUUGCGAGUGGUUAGAAGGAUUUUGCAACAAUUAUCUCUACCACCGACGGUAAUACCUAAUUUUUUCUCCGAGUCGAGUGGUUUCCAAACAUCAUCAAGGAUUACGAGGAUUUUGCUGCUUUUACUCUCAGAAAACAUCAAGCGCAAUCGGUCUGCUCUCUCUUUUUCAUCUUUCUCAUUUAGUGCCCAGCCUAACGACUUUGCCAACUCACCUUGAACCUUUAUUAUAUCUAGAUCCUGAGACAUAGUGGCUAUCCCCACCUUAUCGAAAAGCUUUUGUUGCCGAAGUUGAUUGCCCACAUAUUUUGCCAGGGUUGUCUUUCCUACACCACCGAGACCAUGCAAUCCCACCAUCUUUGUGCUCUCUUUUUUCAGUGCGUCAAUGAUCUGAUUGCAAGCGGAUUCUGUGGUCUUGAAAAUAGAAGUAAAAUGCCUUGGCAAACUUAAUUCUCUUUCUAAUGGUAGAGGUUUAGGAGAGGCAACUGUGUUGAAUUGGCUGCAGCCUUGUAGCAGAUCGGACAACUUGCUAGUCUUCUCUGAUGCUUUUCUGCCCAGACGAUAUCGGCAACACCAAUUAGGACACAAUCCAUGAAGACUACUAUCCUUUUCAUCUAUCUCUGCUUUCAACUUCCAAACAUCGUCCAAUUCUUCGACUCCAUUAUUCAGCCACUCCAUUACAUUUUCAUCGACUACUAUGUCGGGGCAUUUUCGCAGUUCAUCGUCUAUUCUUGUUUUGAUGCCAUCUCGUGCCUUCUUCAACUUAGUUUCUUUAUCCUCAAGUUCUUUAACAAUGCUGUUGAAACAGAACAUAUAGCGAGCUUGGUCAAUGGCUGCAUUCACCAAUAAUUCUUCAACCUUUGAUUUUAAAGCUUCCAUGCUAUUUAUCUGCAAAUAACGAAGUUGAUCUCAGCACACUAUUAGCGAAACAACAAGGCUUGAUCACCAGACAAAAUGAGAACGUUUAAUUACCUCUUUCUGCACUGUGAAUGCACGUCUAUUAACACCAGCUUUGACCAAUAAGAGCAAAAUGCAGAGGUGGGGCCUUAAGAGUUUCGGUGGCCUUUAGCUGCAAAACGGCAGAUGACAAAUAAGGUGAACGUUCCUAGCAAACGUGAUUUACGGUGAAUUAUAUUCAAAUUAGAUUAUUUUAAAAGUUGGUAAAUUAUUUAUCACUCUAUCUUAAUGAUACCUUAUUUGGGAUGAUAAAGAUUGGGGUAAAUUCCCUUUUAUUCUCACAUGUUUAUAGUAUUUAUAUUUUUAUAAAUUACCUAAAACAUCCAUGUAACUUACUUUUAUAGCUAUUGAACAUAUCAUUUCAAAUAUAAAAUACUAUUUCUGUCUAAUAUAAAUUAAAAAUCAAACAAAUCUAUCAUGCAAUAAAUGAAAAGUAAAGAAUAUUAAUUAGGUUUUAAUGGAAACAAAUAUAAAACAUAGAGGUUUUGAGUAACUUUUGUAUUUUUUUUAAUGUUCAAUUUAGAAUUGAAUAAUUUGCAUAAUGAAAUUUUGAGGUUUCUAUAAUUUAUAUGAAGAUAAACUGCGAAAUAAGUUUAUAUGCCGAAAUUAAAAUAGUUAUAUAUUAGCAAUCAUAUAAUAAUAAAAAAUUUUAAUAAAAUUUAUUUAAAAAUUGGCCAAUUGUGUUUCAUGAGUAAAACAGAGAGCAUAAUGGACUUAUGUUGGGUCUUGGGAUUGAAAGACUAAGGGUAAGGGGCCGGGAGGUAGGACGGUAGGAAAAUUAAUUUUUGUUAUUUUUAAAGUAUGGUCAACAUUAGUGACUUGGAGGUGAUUGCCGUUAAUCAAUUACCUUUAACUUAAGAAUUAAUACAAAUAAAUGGCAAAAAUAAUUUAAUGAAAAUUAAUUUAAUAAAAAAUUGCACUAAAAACUUAGAACUCAAAUUCUCGAUCAUUUUAUCCGUACGUUUUAAUCCGACGCUCAGAAUUGGCAUAAAACAAACUAAUAUAGCCAUUGGAAAUAAAACAAACAUCAAAUCAAGAGCCUAUGAAACAAUAUUAUCUCGUACCUUCUUCCUUAUAGAUCCUCAAUUGCUGUUGAAAGCUGCAUAUGACAAUAUAAAUAAACAUGAGAUCAAAACAUCAUAGGAUAUAUCUAGCCAAUUAACAUCAUAUAUAACUCCUUGUUCUCAGUCAAAUCUUUCAUUCUUAGAUUAAAAAAAAAAUGAAAUAAUAACUGUUAAGUGAUAUAGGAAGCAAAAGUAACACACCGAAAUGAAAGCAGCUAGUUCACAGAUGACAGAUGCGGUGACUUCAAGAGCAUGAAAAAUGAUUAAACUUUGGUAGAAGGGUCUGAGCCGUGUUUCACAAGUUGCUAUUGACUUCGUGGCUUCGCUUUUAUUUAUUAUUAUUAUUUUUUUAAAUUCUAUAUCAGUGAGAAUUGAAAUGUGGAAAGUGAAAUGAUACACAUGCCUUAUCAUCUAUCAUGAGGGGUGAUUUGGUAAAACCGAUUUAAAAUAAAAAAAGUUUAAAAAAAUUUAAAAAGAUGCUUUGUGUCUGACUGCUUGUAUUUGGGGUAUUUUUCGGGUUGUUGAGACUUGAGAGUGAGUUUAAUUAAAUAUAAGAUUUUCAUUUUUCUUAUUAUAUUUUUCUCUUUAGAAUGAAUUUAAAUCUCAUUCUUAUUAAAUUCAUUUUUUUAAAUGAAAAUAGAUUUCUCUCCACACAUUUGAGAUAUAUUUUAAAAUUAAUGUUAAGCAUAUCUCUAAAUUAUAUUAUAAAUAUUUUUAUUUAAAAUCUCAACAGAUUUCAUAACACACAGAGAGAAAUACAUAUAUAUGUUGUAAUGUUUUAAUGAUGGAUCUCUAAAGUUAUCAAGUUAAAAAAUAAAUAAAUAAAUAAAAAAUACACACUUCAACUUAUUAUAUGAUAAAAUAUAGUAUAUUAAAGUGAGUAUUUUUUGUGUGAAAUAAAAUUAAAGUGAGUACUAUUACCACCUCACAUCUUAUAAAUUCUAGAAAAUAAUCAAGGCUUGACAUACUUUUAUUUAUGCAAAAGCAUAAGAAAAUAAUUCAAAGUACUAAUUAGUGUACUAUUCCUCAAAAUUCUAGAAUAGAUUUGUUAGUUCUCUUUAGCCAUAGAUUGGUCCGUGAUUGGCACCGCAAUAGCUCAUAAUCACCUCAACAAUUGUUCCACACGGCCCAACAUGACACAUUGUAAACUAGUCUACAAGAAUUUUUUGAGUGGCUUUCUAGCAAUAUUCUUAGAGAAAGUGUUUAGUAGUUUCAAAUCUUCUUUUUUUAACACAAAUGUUGGCAUGAUAUUCUUAAUAUAUUUCUAAAAUCAAAAUAAGAUGCAUAGAGGACGAUAAUUUUAUUUCAUAAUUGAAUUUUUUGCAAAGAAAGUUUGAACAUGAGAGUGAUGAGAGAUGAGAAUAUUGAUGAUGGUGUGUACUUUGAAUGGAAAAAUAGAUUGGAAAUAUAUAUAGACAUAUUAAAAGAAAAAAAUUUGGUCUAUUUCAUAAGAGAAAUAAAAAAUUAUAAACGCGGGUGUUAAAAUGUAUUCAGAAUUUAUAAAUUUUUAUAAAUAUGAUAAUCAUCAGACCCUUAUAAAAGUAUAACAAAAAAGUUUAAAAUUUUUUAAUAAAUGUAGAAGAGAUGAACGAAGAAAUCAUCCACCAGUUCAGAAUUAACAAUCAAAGAUAUGAGGACUUGAUUGAAGAAAUGAUGAAAAAUAAAAGGAAACUGGGUUGGUUAGCGGGACCCUAAUAUUAAUGGUGAAAAAUAAAAGGACACUGGGUUGGUUGGCAGGACCCUAAUAUUAAUGGCAAAAAAUAAAAGGACACUGGGUUGCUAUCAAUUUCGAUCGUGUAGGUUCAUAGCCGGGGAAGUAAUUGGGCACAAAUAUCUCGGAUGAGAAAUAACCAUUUUAUCCCGCAACCAUAUGUUUAUGGCCUCUAAAAAUUUUCACCUCUUUCACUUUCUGGAACCCGUGCUUUCUGGCACAUGCACAAAUACUUGGUUGCUACUUAUAGAGCGUUUUUGGAAUUGCAACAACAUGGUGCUCUUUGAUAAUUCAAAAAUCCAAUAUAAUUUAUAGAGAAUUACAGAAUUGUGGUACGUGAUAAUUUGCUGAUGCAAUGAGGCGCCGAAAUUCUUAUACAUGUGAUUUAAGUUAUAUAUGUAUAAUUAAGUAAUUAGAAUAUACUAGUUGGGGGUAUUUGUGUCCAUGAAAAUUUACAGCUGGUUGUUGACAUUACACUGCGGGUGUGUAAGUGUAAUCAUGGAUCUGACCAUUCAAAUUUAAAAAAUGGGGGUCCCGCUAGCUUACGGAGUUAGUAAUUAUUAGAUAUGCAUAUAUGCUCCCAUACGAUAAUCUUAUCAUAAAUUUGAAGGAUACGAGGACUUGAUUGAAGAAAUGAACGAAUAUUUGAAUUAAAAAAAAUUUUAGAAUAAAGACAAGUAUUAAUUUACUAUGAAUGCAACUUACAUAAGCUGUAAGUUAGCGGGACACUAUUAAAUCACAAGCAAAAAGCAAUCUGACUUCUUCUUGAUUCCGUAAUUUGGCUGUCAAAAUGUAAUCUAUAAAAAUUACGAUACCUCGAUUCAAAAAAAUGUUGUUUCUGAUGAAAUAAAUGAAAAUUGAACGUACAAUCUGCCACGAACACUGUUUAAUUAACCGUUUAUUUCCCCUUAAAUUUUUAAUCUCAAUGAAACAUAGAUCUAAUGGGAACUACAUAUAUAUAAAAAUACUAUAGAUUGAAGAAGUUGAAUUUUUCUUGUGUGUUAAGUAUUUUUAGUUAAUACGAAAGGAUUCUAGCAAGUUAAUACAAAAGUAUCAUAAAUUCAUAGUAGUACAAGAGAUUUUUUUUUUCUUUUGAUAUUAAGAGUUUUCGAGAUAAAAAAAAAAAAAAUAGGUGAAAGAAGAAGAUGAGAGAAGAAAAAAUAUUAAGAAUAGUUUUGGCAUUUUGAUGCGUUUUAUAGUGUAAAAUCUAUAUUUUAUAGUAUAAAAAGGUACACCCAUAAUUUAAUGAUAAAAUUUUAGGAAAAAAUUGCACUCGUCAAAAAAAAAAAGAAAAGGCUCAGCUUAGCCCAAAAAUUUUUUAUUAAUCGUCUAGUCGCUAAUGUAAUCUCUUUUUUAUGAGAUUCUUUGGCGUUUUAGUUUAGUCCAUUGUUAGCAAUCCUAAUAGCUUUUAUGUGCAUCUAUUUUUAUUUGGAAUAUGUUUCAAGCUUGAAUAAAAUCUGCGGGACAACUGGUAAGUAAUAAAGCUCAUCAUUUUUUUAUUUUGAAAAUAAAGGGAAUCACUUACACUUAGCAUGAUAUUAUUUUUGAUAAGUCAUUUUUUUGGUAGAUUAUUUUUUCUAACACGCUCUUAGAUUUAGUGAAAAUAAAUUGUAUACUUUUAAUGAAGAAAAGUAAAGAUCAACAAAAUAUUUUGUUCUUUGCGACAACUUUUGCGUUCUCAAGUGCGCCUGAUACCCUUUUUUUUUUAACAUGGGCCCACGUGCCAUGUUUCCAUUUCAAGUUUCAUAAGUUAACAGUAGAAAUGGGUUCCACAGAUAAUUUAUUUUAUAAUUUUUUUUAAAAAUUACUAAAAUAUAAUAAAUAAGGUAAUAAUAAUUAAUAAAAAAGUAGAUUUUAAGAUGGAAAAAUCUUUUUGUGUACUUAAUAAAAAGAUGAUAAGAAUGGGAUGCUUUUAGUUUACAUUCUCAUAGCUAUUUAUACUGAAAAAUUACAUCAAAAUUUAAUUAAUAAAUCAGUGAACUGCAGACUUAUUAAAUUUAAGCUAUUUUAAUAAGUCAUAAAUAUACUAAAUUAAAAUAGUAAUAAACCCAUUGUUACACAAUACUCUCCAUUGAGUGUUCACCAUUUUAAGAUAAUCAUAAAAUGACACCGGAAGUGCUAUUAUAGCUGUCUCAUGGAAAGCCUUCACCAAUAAAAAGGAGGAUAGAGCACAUACAUCCAGUUUUUAUACCCUUUGAUGCUCAGUCGACACGUGCCAAUGCUAUAGACUAGCUUUUCGAAGGUUGAAGUGGGUAUGCUAUUAGUAAAAAGACCUGCAAAAUUAUAGUGUACCUAUUUGACAUCAACUUUUUUUAUCUGCUGGAGCUUAUGAUUAUAGAAGAUCUUCGGUAAGAUGUGUUUGAUUUUAUCUUCUUUUAUAUAUCCUCCUCUAACUUGUGUAAUAGUAGUAAACCCCUGCCCGUUUUUAUUUCGUUUAGUAUUUUCUAAAUGGCCGAAGGAAAAUUGGUAAAAACUCAUUUAAAAAUAAAAAAAAAUCAAAGAAAUUCAAGAAGAAGCUUUGUAUCUGUCAUUUGUAUUUGGGGUAUUUUUUUGGUUGUUAAGUGAAUGAGCUUAAAUCUAAAACAUUUAUUUAUAUAUUUCUUGUUGGAAAGAAUUUAAAUUUUAUUCUUAUUAGACUUAUUCUCUUUAAACAAAGGUAGAUUUUUCUCUAUGUGUUUAACGUGUAUUUUAAAAUUAAUGUUCAACAUAUCUUUAGAUUCUAUUAUAAAUAUUCAUAUCUAAAAUCUCAACAGAUUUCAUAAUAUAUAAAUGUAUAUAAAGAGAGAGAAUAACGUUUCUAAUAAGAAAUUUAUUAAGUUAAAGAAUAAUUCAAAAGAUAAAUUUGUAUUCAACCCAUUUAUAUGAUUAAUUAAGGUUUUAAACAAAUUUUGGACUUGUUCUAUUGUAGAGCUUAAAUUCAAAAUGGAAGAGUGAAGAAGGGAAAAAGAAGACGAAUAAAGAAGAAAAGAGGAGAACAACUUAUACAAAAGAGGGAGAACGAAAAAGUGAAGGGCAGAAAAAGAAAAAGAAUAAAGAAGAAAUUAAUCAUCGCUGAUAUGAAAAUAAUUCCUUCUUCUUUAUUGUUCUUAGUGGUUCUACUUUUUUUUAUUGGAUUCUAAAUUUUUGUCGUAGAUGGAUUAUAAGAACUAGAAAAUUAUAAAGAUAAUUUUUUAAUUAUUCGAUUAAUUAAUUCCAGCAGAAGACAAGAAAUUGAUUCUGCUUCGUUAGAAAGCCAUCACAUUCUAUACGCAAUUGCAAAAAGUAUAUAUUUUUGUCUGUUUUAGACAAGAAUAAAAGGGAUACCUGGUAUUGCAAAUCUAGACACGUUUUAGUGCUUUAUGUCCGAAUGAAUUCUUUCUUGCAACAAUAAACUUGGCCGAUCAGGAUUUGCCGUUUACAUAUGUAGGUCCUGUUGGUUCUGUAGUAGGACUCAUAAAUUUUUAUUUUUAAUUUACUGAAUCCAUAAAUUUAAAAUAACGGUGCAACUCCUGAGGAUGACAAUGGGGCGGGUGAGGUCUUGGAGUCCUGAAAAAAUUUAUAUCUGCAUAUUAAAAAAUGUGGAUCCGAAUAAGAAAAUCCGCAUGAAUCCGAAUGCAAGUGCAUUUGGAAAAUCGGAUAUCGAGAUCUGGAUAAAAAUUUAUUUCAAAUUAAAAAUUAAAUUAAAUAUAUAUUAAAAAGUAAAUGAAAAAUUAAGAAAGUAAAUUUUAUUUGUAGAUUUAUGAUGUCAUUGUAUAUUAUUCAUGUUGAAUUAUUAAUUGUUGGAUUAUGAUUGAAUUUUAUUUGAUAUUAUUGGGUAAAUUAUUGAAUUUCAUUUUAAAUUAAAAAUAUUUAUUAAAAAUUAAAUUUUAUUUGUAGAUUUAUGAGAUUAUUGUAUGUUAUUCAUUUAAAAUUUUUAAUUAUUGAAUUAUGAUUGAAUUUUAUUUGAUAUUAUUAGGUAAAUUAUUAAACUUUUAAAUUUUAUAUUAAAUUAUAAGCAGUAGGAAAUUAUGGUAUUCAGAACAUGUAUACCUUCGCACAUGAAGCUUGAGUCCAGAACAAGAUGCAGCUAGCCAAUCCUUCAACUUCCAAAACCCCACAAAACCUCUGUCAACAUAUCUGCUCUACUUCAAUAUUAAGCACAUUCAUAGCGGUAUCAACAGCUUACAGCUCCAAAAAUAGUUUGAGAUUUCAUUGAAGCUAAGUUGUGACUUGUGACUGUCCAAAUGUUCUGUCACACGAAAUGAUUAUUCUUGUAACACAAAUCCAAUAGCAUGCAAUAUAAUCUACUCUCUAACACUGUGCAUUAGUAAAAUAAAACAGAGUAAAGCAUUAGUAAAAUAAAACAGAGUAAAAAGAGAAACCAUGCCUGUGAAUCUCUUCUCCUCCCCCCACCACCCCUUUUUUUGGUAAAGUCUAUCAAAUGAAAAUGCAGCAUGACCACAUUGGCCACUACCACUGCCAUUACUCCUUCAACUGUGCCCUUUGUUGCAAGAAAUCUUCAAGUGAAAGAUGGAUUAUAUAAUUAAAGAUUCCAAUAGAAGCAGCAAAGGUUGCCUUCCACUAGCCUAUCAGAGAAUAUGCUUUCUAUUUUCCUAGUUUUAAUCAAAAUUUUGCAAGAUUUAUUUAUGGAAAACUUGGACAAAAUUUUAUGUAAGAUACCAUAAAGCCAAACACAAUCUUUUUAAUUCUCAGCAGCAACAUUUAAAGUAAAAAGAUGGAAGCCAUAUAAAUAUAACUAUAUUUGGUACGAGGAACAAUUAUUUCAAGCUUUCAGAAAUGCUAGCAAGAAAUUGUAAGAGAACUUUACCUAGUCACAGAAUAUGUCAAGCAUACUACCACCAACUGUCUUUAGCACAAUUGUUAUGAAGUAGCCUCUGAAUCGGAAGAUUCAAGCUUCCACCAGGCACAAUUAUUUUCAUUCUCCAUACAAUCUGCAGCAGUGGCAUGAGUUAUAUCAUCAACAUUUGCAUCCUCACUCUCAUCACCCCAAUCAAGGCUUCUUCUCCACCUCUGGAUUAUAAGUCCUCUUCGACAUCUUCAAACAUCUCGGUCCUUCCAUUUGCAAACAACCGAUAUGGCUUCUUUCCUUGCCUUCCUCAUCGUUUAUAUCCCCCAAAAAAGGGUCUUUAGACACCUCAACUUUGCCUUCUGCAAAACCUCCACAAAAUCUGAAUUAUCCAACACAACAGCUAGACGCUUGAUCCUUCUUUUGUCCAUCAUAUCCACCGCAUGAUUCCUCAACAAACAUCUGCAGCUUGUGGCUUAUCUAACACUGUCCUGACCCAAAACCCCACUCUUUUCAACUCAUCUGCCAAACCAUAACCCACUUUUGGAGUCAAAAUUGUCCUUGCAGCCCUUUUAUAUUUUUCCAACUCCAUUGAAUACUUGCCACUCAAAUGCACUCUCCUACCUCUAGCUGAUUCUACUUGAUUCAACCUCUUCUUUUGUUUACACUCAUGAAUUUGGAUAAAAUAAUUAACAAGUUUGUCAUUAUUAUAAAAUCUCCUUUCACAAACACCACAUAAAUAUGGCUCAGCAGGCUUAAUUACACCCUUGCUUUCCAAUUGGUUAAACAAUUUUUCUCUUCUCUUUGCUCUCUUACAACUUGAGGCACAUAACUAAAUGCAUGGCUAUUGGCAUAUGCCACCAUGUAUUUAACAACCCAAGUGAAGAUAUUGAUUUGGGGGUUUGUUGUCCAAAUCCCUAAAAAUUCACACAUUGCGUUGGACAGUUUUUAGUUCUACAAUUAAUGAUACGUUAUGUGAAUUAAGCUCCAAAUGAGAACAUCUAAACAAUGAGACAAAUGGGCUCUAGGUUUCUAAUCAGUAAACAUCGUUCAGUCGCAUAAUUUAUGAAAUUUUUGAAACAUCACUACAGCUACAGGUCUUUAUGUGUCAAUGAACUGCAGAAACUAAUGAUCUACUAGUAGUAGACGUUUGUUGUCCCCACCGUUCCAGGAAGAAAAAUAAGUAGAAGAACUACUUUUAGACCAAAAUUAAAAAAUUGAAACUAUCUUGAAAGACUUUCCCUUCAACUAAGUAAAAAAGAAAAGAAAAAAAAAAGGUAUUAGACAAGCAUUUUCAAAGGAAAAAGAUCAUCCAUUUAUUGUAUGUACUCAGGAAAAAUAAAUGUACUAAUAGGUAGAAACACAGCAAUAAAACUCAAAAACUAACAUCUAUAAAGCUCAAUAACAAUUAUGAAUUAGAUAUUUUGGUCCCUUCAUAAUUCCUCCUCUUGACUUCACAUUUCCCCUCAGCCCGUGAUAAUUUUACCUAUUGAAUUCACAUUUCCCCUCAUCCAUUGAACUUUCCCAAUAACAAGAUGAGUCUAAAUCAUCAAUCUCAUUAAACACUCACAUCUACUAAAUAAUAUCGCAUGCAGUAACUUUAAGUAAGGAUCUAAAACUUACAAGAAAAAGAAAACUACUGUUUAUUAAUUUCAAAAUUUACACAAAAUUACAAAUGAUUUUAUAAACUGUACCAAAACAUGUUCUCUAAAAGAGAUUCAUUAUCCUGCAUUUUCAAAAACAAUAUAAACUAACACUAGAAUAGCCAUUUGAUAAUGAUGUGAAUUUGGGCAGCACCAAGAAGCAGUGAGCCCCAUUUGGUGAAAGCAAAAAGAAAAAAAAUUAAAAUAAAGCACUAUAAAUUCUAAUCAAAUUAUUAACAUUAGCUACACAUCAAGAAACCAGAAUAAAAUCGUUAUCUAAACCACAUACUGAAAAAGAAAAAACAAUGCAGUUAAAAUUCUAUCAUUUUCACUUACAAACAAAUAAAGAAAAAAUUAAGAACAAAGGUUGAAGCAAAGAAUGAUUGUACCUUGAGGUACUUGAGGUUAAUGUUUCCAUAAACGAGACCGAGCGAAAAAGCCGAAACCAGAGCAACCUAUUCUUACUACUCAAAAACACGCCCAGAUCAGAAAAUAAAUGAUCAUUCAAUAACAAUUCAUAGGAAAAUGAUGUUUGCCCCGGGUCAAACCCCGGGUCAAACCCCGAAAAUAACUUAAACGGCGUCGUUUUGAUUAUUUUUUUUCUUUUGGAAUACUCCAAAACGACGACGUUUCUGAUGAUAUUUUGAGAAGAAUAAAAUCUAUCUUCCUCUUCGUUUUCGUUUCUUCGUUUCACCUGUGAAAGAACAGAGCAACAGAGCAACAGAGAUCCCAACUUGGUCUUGUUCCGUUUGACCGUAAAUCUCUUCAUUUCUUCGUUUCUUCGUUUCUUCAAAUAACGGCAAUAUCACCCAAAACAAAGUUUCAUGCAAUGUUGUAAAAAAUAAAUUAUGAUUUGAGAACUGAAAAAAUAAUAUGAGAACUAAAAAAAUGAGACAAAUCAAGAAUAUGAGAACUGAAAAAAUUAAUUCAAUGUUACAAUGUUACAAUGUUCUAAAAACGAAGGCCAACUUCCUAAAAUAAAAUUAAAAAACAAAAUGCUACAAUGUUAAUCUUCGAAAAUUAAACUGAAAAAAUGAGACAGUACCGAAAAAAACAAAUCUUCGAAAAUUCAAGCUUGGCACAAUGUUAAUCUUUCGUCCAAACUCAGCUUUCAACCGUCCAAAUUCAGCUUGUCCAAACUCAGCUUUCAACCGUCCAAACUCAGCUUGUCCAAACUCAUCUUUCAACCGUCCAAACUCAGCUUUCAAGGACACAUUUCGCAGCCGAAACUCAGCCGAAACUCAGCUGCUGUUGGUCUUGUUCUUCAAUGGGUACCAAACGAAAAAGAAACGAAAAAGAAACUCAGACGCUUUCAACUCAGCUUCCAAGGACAAAUUUCGCAGCCGAAACUCAGUCGAAACUCAGUUGCUGUUGGUCUUGUUCUUCAAUGGGUGCGAAACGAAAAACAAACUCAGAUGAAGAGGAUGGAGCUUUAAUUAGUAGAUCCCGUUCUGCUGUCGAUGAGUGCUCCGGCUGUGGAUCUCGGUCGAGGAUGGAAGAAACGAAAAAGAAACGAACAAACGAAAAAGAAAAUAAAAGAAAACGACGCAAAUCAUUCAAUAAACAAACGAAAAAGAAAAAAAAAAAAGAAACGACGCAAACGACGCCGUUUAAGUUAUUUUCGGGGUUUGACCCGGGGCAAACAUCAGCACUCUUUCCUUUAUGAAUUGGGAAAAUGCUACUUUCCCCGGGUCAAACCCCGAAUUAUUUCAAAACGGUGUCGUUUUGUUUUUUUUUUUUUCUUUUUACUUGCAUGAAACGUGGUCGUUUGAGCUAGUAAAAACAAAACAAACUAAAGCAGAAAAAACUCAAGUGCUUAUCUUCUCUGCCCCUUUCUUAAUUUCCUUUUGACAAACCACGGAAUCACACCCACAAACAACAAUCACCCACAGUCACGCGAACAGCCGGCACAGACGAAGGAUGAGCCCACAGACGACGGACCACCGCAUUGAAAUCUCUGUCCACAUCACCGGCACCAUCAUCGUAGGUCUGUAACAAACUGUCGUAAGUUAAACCCUUCUCACCGUCGAUGAACUCGACGUAAGUACGGAAUACUUCGUCGAGAAUUGCGUUGAUUUGUUCGUCGCUGAAUUUGACUCGAGGGUUUACGGCCACCACUAAAGCCGCCAUUUCUUCUCUAUUACGGCCACCGUCGCGGUUCGUGUCAAAUUGUUGAAAAAUUCUCUUCACUUUCUCUGAUCUGCUUCCUCUCGUAGCCAUUUUUUUUUUCUGUUUUUCUGGGGGUCAGUUUGGUUUCUCAGUGUUUGUUUGAGAAAGCGGAAUUAGUAGAUAAGGGAAUAUAAGGAAAAGUUGAUAAAAAGGCAAAGGGUGGUUACUUUAAUUGUUGGUGAGAAUAAUGAUGAUGAUGGCUUAAUUCUGGGUUUUGUUGGAUCUGAAUGAAUUCUUAACGGCAAAAGUUAAAGAGUAGAAGAAGAGCAAGAGGACGGACUCUCAUUCUUUCCCUUUUUUCUUUUAAUUUUAAAUAUAUCAAAAACGGCAGCGUUUUGGAGAAACAAAAAAGAAAAAAAAAUUAAAACAAAACGACGCCGUUUUUGUUUUCGGGGUUUGACCCGGGGCAAACAUCAGCACUCAUUCAUAAAAACUCCAUCCCAUCGCAUUUAAAACAAAACAAAGAAAAUAUUGAUUAGAAAAAAAAUUACACGCAUGGAAUAAAAGAAUAUAAAAAUGGAAUUACCAGAGGGAGCUAGUGCCGGAGUAGGAACCAGAAGGCAGCGCCAUAUGAUGCUCUUGUUAUGGUUUUCCUUCUUGUGGGUCUGCGCUGAAGUCGAAGAUGAAGAAACAAGAAAGAGCCAGCAAAUUGAGAAAUCGACUACCAUCUUCGAUUCCGACUCGCAUGGCCAUUUUUCUUUGAUGAAUGAAAUAUUGUUUUACUCCCUAAUUCUUAACCAAAUUACAAGUUUUGACUUCUGUUUGUAUGUUCUUUCAUACGGGUUCUUGUUCACAGGAAUAACAAAUGGGCCGGACGUGUGGCUAAGCCCGGGCCUGGUGUCGAUAGCCAGGCCUGGGCUUUUACGAGCCCAGGCAUUUUAUUCUGAGUAUGAUCCUUAUAUCACUUCACUUUUGUAAUCGUAAUUUUAUUGUACUGAAAAUUAUAUGAACGAUUAAUAUGAAUUUAAUUAAACAAACAUGUCUUUACAACUCAUGCAACCUUACUAUUUUCUAAUCCUAAUAUGUGAUAUAAUUAAUUUUACUGAUAAAAUCAAAAUAAUUUUUAAACAAUGAAGAAAUAAAUUAUAAUAACAGUAAAUUUAUUACGAAAAAGUAUGUUUACAAAAUUUAUUUUAAAUGAUAUGAAAUCUAAUUAAAAUUCUAUUCUAAUUUUAUGCCCUUUUUUACAAUUUUAUUAAAAAGUGGGAUCUCUUAAGAUUUUAGGAGUGUUGGAAUUCUAUUUUUCCAGAUUUGAAUUUUAGUGACCUUUACUUCAUUUAAAUUUUUUGUUAUAAACUUGCAAGCAAGUGCAUUUAGGAUAUCUUUGGUGAACUGGAUUGUAACAAUAAUUUUAUUUAUUAAAAUUAUUAAAAGUAUUUAAUUAAUAAAACUUCACGUAUCCUCGGGUCUAACCAAUCAAAUUCUUUCUCUCAAAAGUACACAAAAGUGAGAUUGGCUCUUGCCUAUUAGUUAACAUAUGCAUAUUAAUUAACACUGACAGAUAUAUAGAUAUACAGCACAGCUAGCAGCACAUUCGACUUACAGAUAUACAGAACUUGAACAUAAUUCACAUAUCUGAAGGGAGAGGGAUAUCGAUGUUGCGGCCUGCAAUUCAUAACAUAUCAUCGGUCAUUUAAUCUAGAAUUGAGGAGAGAAAAUGAGUCUAAAUUCGAAAACUUUGGCACUAUUUACAUAUCAUUAUUUGGGUGAAAAUUCAUUUCUCUGCUUUGAUAUGAUUUGGUCUUUCAUUGUUACGGUGCCAAUUUUUUAUUUAAAGAUGUAAGGUAGUGGUACUAUAGCUUAUAUUUUCCGUAAUUACUAUCCGGUAAGUACAAAAAUAAAAUACUAGUUUAAAAUAUAAAAAUGAAAAAUUAUUUUUAUAACCAAUAUUCAAUUAAAUACAUUUAAAACUCUAUUUUUUCUUAAUAAAAAAAAUUCUAAUUUAUUUUCUCAAUUUAUCUAAACAACUUUACCUAAUCAAGCUAAAUCUACAUAUUACCCUAAACCUUAAUUCAUAAACACCCAAUCAAUCUAAUUGUUAAAUCUUAUUUCAUAAUAAAAAAAAAUUAAUUUCUUUUUUAUUAUUUAUGGUGCAAAGGAAAAAAUGAAUUUAAAGGUAAAAUUGAUAUUUUAUUUAAAUUUUGUUAAUAUUCUAAUAAUAUUAAUGUCUUGGUGGUUAAUAAAAGCAUAAAGUUAAACUUUUGUAGUAUUUUUAAUAAUAUGGUAAAGAUAUAUGUUUGAUAAUUUUCUUAUGUCUUUUUACGUUAAAUUGAGUCUCAAGUAUAAUGAAUAAAUAAUACAUAUUAUAAAAUUAGUGUAGAUAAAUAAUACAACUUGAAAAUAUUAUAGUAUUCUUAAUAAUAGAGAAAUUUAAAGGUGGAUAGUUGAUUGUUUAAUGAAACAACUACAGAAUUUUCCUUUCAAAUAUCUUUUUGAAAAAACAUGAUUGAGUAAAAAUUAUUUUACAGAAUGACCUUUCAAAUGCCCAUUCGACAAGCCAAGAAGAAAGGGUAGCUAACAAAUUUACAAGUACCAGAGAUCCAGAAACACAUUUAUAGCCAAUCCAUUUAUGAGUUACAUUCAACACUCUCACAAACUGAAAAAAUAAAAAUUAUUACGGUCAAGACGCACACUUUUUGACAUCCAAAAAGCUAAACAUUUGAAGUUCUUCAAUACAAAAUGCAUACUAAAUUGGCACAAUUAAUGCCCAUGGAAGGGUCAUCAAUUUAAGCCAACAAAUUUGCCAAAGUUUUAACAGUGAACACAAAAGGAACAUGUAAAAUUUGAAGUUGAACAAAUCUUCACAUGCAUACAACAAGCCUUAAAACUUUAGUCUUCACAAUUUGAGCACGCAAUAAAUAUUAAGUGACCACCCGCAGAACAAGUCUAGAAUAAACUUGUUAGGUUCUUGCGCGAACUGAACCCCUCUGAAACACUAAAAGAGAAAGUACAAAAUAAAGAAGACCAUAUUACGUGGCUAACUAACAGCCAUUCCCAAAGAAAUGAGAGUGAUGAUAACGUCUUUUUUUUUUUUUUUUCCUUUCAAUCAUAUUUCUCGUCAUCUUCUUCUUCACGGGCAUCUACACUGACGUCUCCCUCUUGGCUGGCAUCUUCCUCGUUUGUAGUCGGUCGCUAUCCAACCAACAAAUUGGGCAUUAAAGAACAAACAGAGAAAAUUAUAACAAUAAGAACUAUAAACAUGAAAAGAAAAAAAAAAAAAAGAUAUUUGAAGGGAAAUUUUGGUAGAACUCUAUGGCUCAUCCGUGAAAUUAAUGUUAAUAUAUAUGUUUAUGUAAUGACGGUCUAUUGAUUUUAGGAUAGAUCAAUAAGCUAUUACAAACGAAAACAUGAACCAACUAUAUGUAGAGUUAAUUAAUUUAAAGUUCUCAAGAGCUUACCUCUGCUCCAGAAUUCUCG
rnacentral:lncRNA from 1 species